rnacentral:lncRNA from 1 species
UUAUUUUCUCUAUCAAAUAACUAGGUGUCAAAGAUAGAUGGCAUAGCUUAUAGGGCAUGCCAUAGUUAAUAUAAUAUAAUAUAAUAUAAUUUAAAUUAUAUGAAUAGUAUUCUAAUAUUUUUAAAUUAUAUUCAAAAUAUGUUAUUUAAUUGAUUUGGUAAAUCAUCAUAUCAAUGAAUAAAAUAAUAAUAAUAAUCUAAUUAUUUUAUUUUUAUCUCAAAAUUGUACGUGGUUAUUUGUCAUUUUUGUGGGCAUAAUAGAUUUUCAAAAAUAAACCAUACAACUUAGAAUUUAAACUAAUGAUUUGUUGUUGGAUUGACAAGCUCUUAACCACCAAGCUUUAUGUUAUCAUUACACAAGAAUGGUUUAUUUGACAAGCUCUUAACCACCAAGCUUUAAUUAUUUUUUUAAAAAAAAAUUCUACAAAAAUAAAAAUGAACUUAUUUUAUUUUAUUCUUUAUGUUAUUUUAAAAAUUAAAUUUUUUUUAAAAAUCAACUUUCGUGUGCCGCCAUAUUCAUAUAUAAUUUUUUUACAAGCUAUUUAAGAAUAAUUAAUUCAUGAUUAUUUUUUAUGCUAUAAUAAAAUUAAUAAUAAUUUUUUAUACAAAAAUAUUAUUAUUAUUAUAUUAUAUUUUUAUCUUAAAUAAUUUUUAAUUUUUAAUAUUUUAAUAUAAUCUUGAUCAAACUAGUGAUCUAUAUAUGGUAAUGCUAAAAAUGUUAACUUAUCGUAAAUAUCUUUGUUUCAAAGGGUUCCAAUCAUAAAAGUUGCGAUAACAACUAUAAUACAUAUAAUAACAUAUUUGGUGGCCUAGUGUGACAAGACCAAGUUCUAUAUAAAAAAUUAAUAAUUUAAGAUUUAGUGAUAAUCUUUAAAAAUCCCACAAAUUAUAAUAUUAUUUGUUGGCAUAUUAGUUAAAUAUCAUAAUAGCAGUUCUAGUUUCCAGCACUUCGAGUUGUAUACUAUAUAAUAAAAUUUAUAGUAGCACUUACAAUAAAGUACCACUAAUAAAAAUGUUUAUUAAAAAUUACAGCAUUUAUACUAUAAUGCAGUAAAAAAAAGAUUCUUGAUGGCAUAUAAUAAGAAAUGAAACAAGCAAUUUGCCGCCAAAAAUAGGACUCUUAGAUCCUUUUAUUAGAAUAUUAAAAUUUUUUAGAGCUAAUAAAAAAGAUAUCAUAUAUUAUAAAAUAUCUAUUGAUGCAUUAAAGACAAAUGUUUUCUCAUAAUGUUUAGCCUCAAUUUUUGAAGUCCAUUUGCUGAAACUUAACCAAUCUUAAUAUGAAGCUACUGAUCAAGUUCCUCUACCUUAUUGCUACCCACCUUAUAGAUAGAGAAGCUUUUUUUUUUGCUAGAAACAGCAGUAUCAUACAAAAUGUGUACGGAUACAAUCAAGAAAAUCAAAAAACAGUACAUCCUGGAGAUCACUAGGCAGCUCCGCCUCGCUUACCCAUAGGUGGUCCCUAGAGUGGUUGGCAACAAAGGACGCCACCCAAUCGGCCGCCCCAUUGGCCAUCAUUGGCCAUGGCCAUAAUGUCGUUCAGCAGCAGGUGAUAGUCGCCAAUGCCCUCCCCACCCCCCACCCCCCAGGCCUACCAGAUCCAUCCGAUGAUCGUCAUGGAAUUCCCCUCGCCCGUAUGCUACACCGCACAUAACACAGUCUCGACUAGGUUGCUCGCAGCUUCGCCCUCGGCACCGAGGUAUCAAGCAACUGGCAAACCCCAGCAGCAAUCAAUCUGGAGUCCGGGCCUCUGUUCACAAAGCCUGCACCUCCCCUCGCGCCCCCUUGUAGGACGCAGCCAUCGAAGUUGACCUUGAGAAAACUCGAGGGUAGGGGCUCAUAAGUGAAAGUCAUCAUAUGGGACGCUCUACAAGUAGAGAUAGAGCCCCAGGUGUUCCGAUCUAUCAAAGAUCUAUCCGAAUGUGCAGCCAGGAAGGCCUCAACUGCCAGCAAUCGUGCCCUCUCCACCACCACCACUGAAGAGGGGCACCACUCCCCGAAAGUCCAUGCGUUCCUCGCAAGCCAGAUCUGGUAGACGGUAUAGGUCGCCCGCACCACCUCCGACCUCGCCUGCGAGGCCCCAACCAGACGUCCAAGAACCUGCAGAAGGGAUGUUGCGUGAUGCCACAUCUCUGUGGGGAACCCCGCUCUCCCCCAGACCCUCCUAACCCGAUGGCACUAGAAGAUAGUGUGGUCCAGCAACUCAACGGUCUAACACUUCGGGCGCUGGGGGGGAUACUCAUGACCCUCUUGGACAACAAGAGUCUCGUCGGUAACCGACCCCAGACGACCUUCCAAAGAAAUAAAGCUACUCUGGGGUGCAGCCCGACUCGCCAUAUCCAGCUGAAGUCUACCGCCAACUGCCCACCACCCUGGACGACAUCGCAGGCAUUAACCACCCUGAUUGUAGAUCUACAGGACGUGCUCCACACUCUAACAUCAUGGUAGGGGUGCACCGAAACUGGGAUCGCCCGAAUCCGCUCAGCAAGUGGCUCACCAAACAAUCGUCCGAUCUAGUUAGUAUUCCACCCUCUCCCUUUGGGAAGAAGAAGGUCACUCACUCGCAGCCCCUCCUCUGCCUCGACACUAAGUAGGUUCGGCCAGCGCCUCAACAAGAGCUCAUCCACCACCAAAUCAACCCUCUGACCGUCACCAAUCAGCCAUCUACAUCUUGACAGGACCAAAGGCACGUAUCUGCAAAUUUCUCACCAAAUCGGUGAUGCUCUCCGGCCCCCAAGUGGGGUCGCACCGCCCCCAACAUAGCUGUACCAGGCGACCAUCAUCUAACUCCAAAAGCACUGGGGCUCCAAGAUAACCCUAGUUGCAUGCUGAACAAUUAGCGCCUCCCUUCUGGUCAGCAAGGACUGGACCCCCAGCCCCCUUAGUCGGUCGGCAGACUGACUCCCAUUCCACCAGAUGCACCCCCCGGCUGUCACCAUGUGUCCCCCAAAUGAAACUCUAGGCAAGCCUCUCAAUCAUUCUCAACACCGUCUUGGGUACCACAGUGUUGGACAUCAUGUAGAUAGGUAUGGAGCAAAGUACAGAUCUAACCAAUGUCACCCUAUCUAUCAUGGAGAGUGAGGCCGCCCUCCAACCCUCUAGCCUCUGCUGUACCCGGUGCACCAAGUCCUGGCAGUACGAGACUCGCAACCUCUUUCUAGAUAACUCCUAGAUAACUCCACGGUCCAUCCUGCUCCCUCAUCCCAAGUAAUUCCCUGAUCUCCUGCCGCACCGCACCUCAGUCUUUGGGCUAAACACAAUGAUCGACUUCUGAAGAUUCACCCUCUGUCUUGAGGCAUAGCAAUAGUCCUCCAAGUCUCUCUAAAGAACCUCAGCAUCCUUGGGCCUAGCCCUAGCCAGCAAAAGGUAAUCAUCUGCAAAAAGGAGGUGAGUGAUUGGCUGGGCACCAGAGGCCGGAAGGUAGGUCUCCAGCGCUCGCCUCCUACAAGCAUGGCGCAGGGUACGGGAUAGAACAUUAGCACAGAUAUUGAAGAAGUACGGAGAAAGGGGACAACCCUGGCACAGCCCAAAGGAAUACCGGAAGAAAGGCGAUGGCGAACCAUUGAUCAGGAUCGAGAACGACAGCCCCCGUAUACACCCCAUAUCCAAGAAAUCCAUGACUCGUAAAAGCCGAAACUCAUCAUAGCCCUCCGCAAGAAACACCAUCGGACUUUAUCAAGACCCUCUCCAUGUCGAGCUUCACAGCCAUGUAACAUUGCCGUCGUGAAGCUCGCUGCAAGUCCCACAUCAUCUCCUGGGCCAACAUGAUAUUGUCGGUAAUGCUCCGGCCACCGACAAAGGCUCCCUGCUCUGAACAGAUCAAGCGGGGAAGGAGGGUUUACAUUCUGCCCACCAGCAUCUUGGCCAUCACCUUAUAAAAGGUAGUGCAAAGGCUGAUGGGUCAGAGUGACUGGGCUUUGACACGUCGUGCCCUAGAUAUUUAAGAUCUGUUCUUUGAUGGAUAAAUAUCAUAAAAAAAUUGACCACUUCUCUAUGGACCGAUUUACCUAUAUUCUCAUGGUUCUCUAAAUAAGUAAGUUAUUUUUCCAUAGGCAGCAUUCACUCAUUUGAAAGAUGGGUAAGUCAUUUGCUCAUCAACUAGCAAAAUAAAUAUUUUAUUUUAUUUCUAAAAUACCUUUAAUCCUAGUAUUAUAAUAUUUUAUUAUAUUAUACAAUAAUAUAAUAUACUAUAUAAUAUAUUAUAAUAUAUACUAUUAUAUUAUAUUAUAUAUAUUAUGUAAUAUAACAUAUGAUAUAUUAUAAUAUGUCAUAAAAUAUUGCAAUAUAUAUUAUGGAUAUAAUAUAUAAUAUAAAUAUAAUGAUAUAAUAUAUAAUAUAUAAUAUGAUGUAUAAUAUAAUAUAAUAUACUAUAUUUAUUAUAAUAUAAUAUUAAGAUAUUACGUAUAAUAAUAUACUAUUAUAUAUAAUAUGAUAUAUUAUAAUAUAUCAUAAUAUAUCAUAAUAUAUUACAAUAUAUAUUAUGGACAUUAUAUGUAGUAUAUAAUAUAUUAUAUAUAAUAAUAUAUAUAACAUAAUAUAAUAUAUAUUAUAUUUUAUCACAAUAUAAUUUUAUUAUAUAUAAAUAUAAUAAUAUUAUUAUAUGAAUAUAAUUAUGUUAUAUUAUAAUAAAUAUAAUAUAUACUAUUAUAUUAUUAUCAUAUUAUUAUAUAUUUAUAUUAUAUAUAAUAUAUAAUAUAUAAUAUCCAUAUUAUAUAUUGUAAUAUAUCUAAAGCUUCGCAGGUCGACUCUGACAGAGAACAUUUUCUCUAAUACACCCAGCGAGUCGACCUCAAGGAAACUCGAGUCGACCCCACCUGGAAAAAUAGAAGAGGUCGUCUCUGGAUUCUCUGAGAGAGUCGUCCCCAGCCAGGCUCGAGUCGACCCCUCUUCUCGAGUCGACUCCAAUCAGGUCAAAAACUCUGAUUGAACCCAAAAUUGAAUCCAAUUCAAUUUGGCUCAUCCUAAAUCCAUUUACUCAAUCAAAUUAAGUUUAUUAGUAAUCCAAUUACUAAUUAAUCAUCCAAUAAUUACUUUAAUUAUUUUAUAGAAUAAUUUGCCAAUCAAAACCAAAUUAUCCCUAAAUGAUUCUUAAUCAUUCAUCAGCCUUCUUGAUCAAUCAGGAAUCUUCUAUGCGUGUGACCUCAUAGGUUCGAACCUAAGCCGGUAGUAUAGGAACGACUUUCUACACUAAUCGAUGUGACCAUCUAGCAAUGGUACCCGAUGUCCAGAUAAGUCGAAUAUAUGCGAAGCAAAUAUUCUGAAAUCCUGGACUAUGGUUACUGUAUACUUCAAUCCCUUUGACUCCUAAUGUCAGGAUGACUUAGAGCUCACUGUCAACCCUAUAAUUAGUACAUCCAUUAUGUGAUUAACUUUAGAUAUCCUGUGACUCAUCACUGGGAUUACCCUGGCCAAGGUUUUGCUAAAUUAAUCACAAGAUAUUAUCUCCUGUUUUCAGGAGGGGUCAAUUCAUCUCGACUCACAACUGACUACGCAAGUACUUGACUGUACCUAGUGACCUUCCGUCACUGAAUUAGAAAUCCAGGUAGUCCGGUACUAAAGUACAAUGAGUUGCUUGCUGGUCACAGGUUGCGGUCUCGGAUCAGAGGGCCAAACUUAUAUCCAUAUCCACUCGGAACAUCUUUUGACAAUAGAGCAUUUCGAAAUUGGUCACGUUCCGUGAAAUGUACUCCUACACUUCAUCUGUGUGGCAUACCAGUGUCUCCACACUCCUUGGUUAAGAGGACAACCAACGUAUAUGUCACACAACGACCUAAUCUUGAUAAUGCUGUCGUACUUGUAACAACAUAUCAUUUGGUCGCGAACCAGUUUAAGGACUCGAAGAUAAAUCCUCCUUUAUAAUUAAUAAGCCCUAAGGACUUCAUCAUAUAAGAGUUCAUUUGAAGAUAUAAAAUGAUGAAUAAUGCCAAAAAAUACUUUAUUAAUUUGUCAAUUCAUUUACAAUAUUCAAUCAUCAACAUACUGACGAUUGUCAUUUAGGAUUCAAUUCCCAAUAAGGGACUCCUAGAUAACUCCACAGUCCAUCCUGCUCCCUCAUCCCAAGUAAUUUCCUGAUCUCCUGCCGCACCGCACCUCAGUCUUCGGGUUAAACACAAUGAUCGACUUCUGAAGAUUCACCCUCUGACCUAAGGCAUAGCAAUAGUCCUCCAAGACUCUCUGAAGAACCUCAGCAUUCUUGGGCCUAGCCCUAGCCAGCAGAAGGUAAUCAUCUACAAAAGGGAGGUGAGUGAUCGGCUGGGCACCAGGGGUCGGAAGGUAGGUCUCCAGCGCUCGCCUCCUACAAGCAUGGCGCAGGGUACGGGAUAGAACAUUAGCACAGAUAAUGAAGAAGUACGGAGAAAGGAGACAACCCUGGCGUAGCUGAAAGAAAGAUCGGAGGAAGGGCAAUGGCGAACCAUUGAUCAGGAUCGAGAACGACAGCCCCCGUAUACACCCCAUAUCCAAGAAAUCCAUGACUCGUAAAAGCCGAAACUCAUCAUAGCCCUCCGCAAGAAACACCAUCGGACUUUAUCAAGACCCUCUCCAUGUCGAGCUUCACAGCCAUGUAACAUUGCCGUCGUGAAGCUCGCUGCAAGUCCCACAUCAUCUCCUGGGCCAACAUGAUAUUGUCGGUAAUGCUCCGGCCACCGACAAAGGCUCCCUGCUCUGAACAGAUCAAGCGGGGAAGGAGGGUUUACAUUCUGCCCACCAGCAUCUUGGCCAUCACCUUAUAAAAGGUAGUGCAAAGGCUGAUGGGUCAGAGUGACUGGGCUUUGACACGUCGUGCCCUAGAUAUUUAAGAUCUGUUCUUUGAUGGAUAAAUAUCAUAAAAAAAUUGACCACUUCUCUAUGGACCGAUUUACCUAUAUUCUCAUGGUUCUCUAAAUAAGUAAGUUAUUUUUCCAUAGGCAGCAUUCACUCAUUUGAAAGAUGGGUAAGUCAUUUGCUCAUCAACUAGCAAAAUAAAUAUUUUAUUUUAUUUCUAAAAUACCUUUAAUCCUAGUAUUAUAAUAUUUUAUUAUAUUAUACAAUAAUAUAAUAUACUAUAUAAUAUAUUAUAAUAUAUACUAUUAUAUUAUAUUAUAUAUAUUAUGUAAUAUAACAUAUGAUAUAUUAUAAUAUGUCAUAAAAUAUUGCAAUAUAUAUUAUGGAUAUAAUAUAUAAUAUAAAUAUAAUGAUAUAAUAUAUAAUAUAUAAUAUAUAAUAUGAUGUAUAAUAUAAUAUAAUAUACUAUAUUUAUUAUAAUACAAUAUUAAGAUAUUACGUAUAAUAAUAUACUAUUAUAUAUAAUAUGAUAUAUUAUAAUAUAUUACAAUAUAUAUUAUGGACAUUAUAUGUAGUAUAUAAUAUAUUAUAUAUAAUAACAUAUAUAACAUAAUAUAAUCGGGAAUUUUGGCAUAGAUUGGAUUUCCUUUUCUACGAAAUGUGACAUUUGAGCGUUUUAUCGGGAUUUUCAAAAAAUUAUAUUAUUAUCAUAUUAUUAUAUAUUUAUAUUAUAUAUAAUAUAUAAUAUCCAUAUUAUAUAUUGUAAUAUAUUAUGACAUAUUAUAAUAUAUCAUAUCAUAUAUAAUAUUAUAAUAUAUAUUAUAAACUAUAUAAUAUAUAUUAUAGAUAAAAGGUAUUAUGAAAAAUAUGGAUAAAUGUUAAUAACUUACCCCGAAAAGUAGUAAUGCAAAAGAGCACAAGCAACAAAUUUUGGAGCUACUUUGUAAUACAUAAAAGAACUUGGAUAAAUUAAUUUUCUAUCUAAAUAUUGCUUGAGAAAUAUUUAUCUAGAAAAAUAUAGAUUUCUAAGUAAAUUUUGCUCCCCAAAGGACGGUCCUUAACAAUAUUUUACCAAUGAGGCUACAAAAAUUUGGUUUUGUGCCCGAUGAAAAUGGCCUACUUACAUAUUUUGGAGAAGGAUCUCUAUUACUCGAUUUUUUCUUAUUCUUAUCAACUGCAGCCGUGAAGAGGAUAAUCAAGGCCCUUUUUGACACCCUCAUUUGUGAUUAGUGAACAAUUUUUGUACGGAUCAUCACAUUUACUAAAUCUGACAUACACUUCAAAUAUUCAAUUAUUUAUAUUAAAAUAUUAUAUUUAGGUUAAUAAGAUUUUUUUUAAUAAAAGAUGCAAAAUCGUUGAGCUUCUGAAUAUCUACCAUUCUGUUAAAUAAAAAAAUAUACGAAUUUUUCUUACAAAAUCAAUUACUAAGUGGCUUCUUAUCACAAAAAUAGCAAUAAUUUCGGCACCACAAAUUUCUUGCAAAAUUUAUGUAGCACGUCUCAUGGAUUGUCUCAUCAUCCAUCCUGAUGUUUAUGAUCAAAGUCGAGUCCACUUAUCCAUAAUUGUCCUGCUAAGCAUUCCAAUUUCCAAACGAGUUUUUUUUUUUCCCGCGUGAGAUUUGUUUUCUUCCUCUUUAAUAUUUUGGAGCCAAACUUUCCCGCGCGAAAUUCUGAUUCGGUGUCCACGGAAUAGGUUUUGAGGGAGGUAAGCUCACCGGCGGACAGGAGGCCGUUUCGGUCAACGAAGACAGGCGACACCAGAGACGGCACAAGGCCCCGCGAUUGAAUAGCCAGGCCCAAUUCUCCCAGAGCGUUCUAAUGUGACGUGUUAUGAGAACAUUCGUGCUCUUUCCUGAAUUGGACCAACAAUCUCGUGCCAAAUUGCCUUGGUGAUUACUGAAUACGGCCUAACUUACUAUUCUCCAUCACAUCGGUACCAAAUCGACAACCACGAAACAACACUAACUCGUAAACUCUCUCGGUGGGGCCCGCAAUAUAUGUCUCUAGUAGUGAAAAAGUAACGGUCUCUUUUCUGGUCGCGAUAGCCUUGCCAAUUUAAUUAUCCCCGGUGAGCGAGAGAGCGAGCGAGCUCAGCGAAGGGACUUGGAGAGGCGGGCGAGAAAGCGGAAGGCAACGCCGUCACCCCCCCCCACCCUUUCUCUCUCUCGUCGGUCGCUCAUCGGCGCCGCCAUUGCUCCGAGCUCGCCCUAUUCUCAAGGUCAGUCUUCUUCUUCUUCUUUUAUUUAAUAACCUACUCUCUCUUUCGAUCAGUAUCCUGCGUUGUUUCCUCAUUUUCUUGUUUUUUGCCCGCACGAUUUUGUUCUAUUUAUGCAGUUCCUUGCCGGGAUGCGAUUAUUAUACGGAGGUCGAUUCUGAAUUUGUUUUUUCGGGAUUUUUUUGGUUUUUUCCUCUUUGAUGAUGAACAAGUGGUGAUUGGCGGUGGCUUGCCUUGGAGGGGAGGAUCGUCCUCUCCGAUUUAAUGGGGGAUUGGUUAGGGUUUUGAAUCGGUCGGAUUUCUUUUCGUUUUUUCUCCGCUCGGUCGGAUUUAGAAUGUUGGGUUUCUGAUUGAAUGCAUUGAAGAGCUGUGUCUCAUUUUGCAUUGAAUGCCUUGUGGUGGGUGUGCUUUCAUUUGCCAUUACUGCUUAUUUUAUAUGGUAAGGAGUAUUUUAACGCUGUUGGAUUUGAUAAGGGAGUUGUUUGGUUGUAUUUUGAAUGCUAUGUUGCAGAUUUUCUUCGUUGUUGCAUAUCAGUGUUUUUAGUGGUGGAUUGAUAUGGAUCAGGUGAGGAGGGCUUGCUUUUCUUCUGCUUGUCUAUUAGCUUCUUGUUAAUAUUCUAGGGGUUAUUGUGGUAAUGUGGGGGGUUUUGGGCUUAGUAUGAGAAGGUGGAGAAGAUUGGGGAAGGGACUUACGGCGUGGUGUAUAAGGCUCGGGAUCGUCUUACGAAUGAGAUGAUUGCUUUGAAGAAAAUCCGGCUGGAGCAAGAAGAUGAAGGAGUCCCAAGCACUGCUAUUAGAGAGAUAUCACUUUUGAAGGAAAUGCAGCAUGAUAAUAUUGUCAGGUCAUUCUCAGCAACCGUCUGAAACUUCUGCAGUUUGAUAAAUUUGUAUACACUUGCUAUUCUUUCUUGUUCUCCAUUCAUGUAUGUUUAUCUGCCAAAAAUUUGUCCAUUUUCAGUUGUUUCUUGAAUAUCUGAUGCUUUUUUUUUAAACUAUGAGGUCUUCAUCCUGUGCACUUGAGAAGUUCUCUAUACCAUGUGGAAGAAGGUUAUUAAUGUAACAUCUGGGAAAUAGUCUGAUACAUGGGGUUGGUUGAAUGCUGAGUUGCAUAGCCAGCAAUAUGUGGGCCCAUGGAACUUUUCCUGUGAACUAACAGGCAUCGCAAAGCAUUUUCCUUUUGUUAAUGAAUCAAUUGGAAAAGGAAAUAAUUAUAUUGCUAUUAGCUGUCAGAUCCAUGAUCCAUGUUCAUUCAAACCAUUUCUUAUUCAAGUACUCAAAAACCAAGUUUGCUUUGCUUUAUUAUAUAUAUAUGUAUGUAUGUGUGUGUGUGUGUGUGUGUGUGUGUGUGUGUGUGUCUGUGUUCAGUAUCUAAUUCUGUGGCAAGGAAAAAUGGCAAUGCUGUGAAUGCUAAUAGUUUGCCCGCAUGAUCUAUGCUUGAAUUACAGACAAGACAAAUCCUAUCAAAACAACAGCCUUUUGUUUCUGCUUUUGGUUUUCAUUGUUUAUAUUAUGGCAGAUUACCUAUUGAACUAGUUCGGUGGUGUCUGAGUACCAGAGUUAUAACCUCUGAGUCAGCAUUAACUCUUGACAUUCAUGCUGGAAUUUGUUGAUGUAUAUGCCAGUGAAAUAUAGGAAUUUGUUUCAUAUUUAUCAGAAAACUGACCAGAUGUCUUAGGGGGUAGGAAUUUUGCUUGUUCAGUCUAUUUGAUAACUAGUAAACAUAUUAGCAUUUGCUAAAACCAAUAUGUUUUAUGUUUCGGGAAGGAUGUUUUCUUCUUAUAAUCUUCAAGUUAUUCAUAUUCCUCUAGACCUGAGUACCUGCUGAGUAAUUAAUUCAUGGAGAACAGAUGACCCGACACUUGAUAGAUAUUUUCUUGAUUAGGACAUUAAGUAAAGCUAUUAUAUCUUUUCUAUACCUUCUUGUGUGAAGUUGGGGAUAUUUUAGGAAUACAUUAAAGGGUGGUGAUGGGAAGCUAUUGGUCAUUAUUUGUCAAAUCCUAUUUGUGGUGGUACAGUUGUACUCAAGGAUGUUAAAAGCAAAGGGCACCCUUAUGGUGAGAGGACCCCAUAUUGCUUGAGAUGUUAGGUGCCAAAAAGCAAGGUGCUAAUUAUGAGAAGACCAAUAAAUGCAUUAGAAUUAAUGCGGAAGAAUAAAUAUUUAUCGAUAUAUAUUCGAAUACGUAAUGCCAACUCUACUUAUGCCCAUACUUUAGGCAUGUUUUGUCCAUUAGCACUUCGCCUUGUGGUUGACCCACGUGUUUCUUCUCACAUCUCCUUGCAUCUUUGUUAGAUAGAGCAUCCAGCUGUUAACCAUAGCGUCAAAGUUUAGGUCCUUACUUUAGAAGUUACAAAAAAGGGUAUCUUAGUGUAUGGGGCUCCCACCAUUGUGGUGUUUGGGGAGGGUCAAAUGCAAGGUACACCGAACCAGUAUCGGUCGAUGCACCGUUGGUUCCAACCGGUAUCGAAUCGGCCAACCAUGAAAGGGGAAAAAAAAGAACCGUUGCGUGCGUGUCCGCGUUAAAGCCACAGAGUGGCAUUAAAUGCCACUCUAUGGCAUUAAAUGGCCCACAUGGGCUGCCCCGUGUGGGCUCAUUGCCCCGCUCGGGGAAGUGCGCAUGGGUGCGGUUCCUUGCGCGCGGAAUCGCGCGCGGGUGCGAGCUGGGCGCGCGAUUUCCUGCUCGCGCUCGCUGCCCCGCGCAUGAGCGCUCCCUUUUUUUUCUUUUCUUUUUUUCCUUCUCUUCUUUUUUCUUCUUUCUGAACGUUCUCUUGUUCCUUCUCCUUUCUUCCCCUCUCUCUUCUCUUCUCCUCUCUUCUCCCCUUCUCCCGUGAGCAAGGAAGGAAAGGAAACCACAAGCAAGGAAGGAAAGGAAACCGUGAGCAAGGGGGGUGAUCCUCGUUGGGGUGCUCGGGAGGGAGUCGGCCCGAGGCUCGGUGCGAACCGGUAAUCUUCUUCUUCUCCUCUUUCUCUUUUUCUUCCUCUUCUUUCCUCUUCUUUCAUCUUCUUCCUCUUUUUCUUCCCUACCGGUGUGAACCGUUUUCAAAGGCUGUACCGUAUCGAUCACGGGUAGUAUUGGUAUCAGUAUAGUACGGGCUGAACCGGCCGGUACGGGCCGGUUUAGUAGACCCUGGUCAAAUGCAUUUAACUUUACCUCCAGGAUUGGAAAAGCUGUUUCCGUGUUUCAGAUCUAUGAUAUGUAGGUCAUAAUGCAACAACCUUAUUGUUGCACCAAAGCUUGCCCUAUUGCUUUAGAAUUUAUCAGUCAUUAUAUUUUUCAGAUGCAUCUCAACCUUUUUUAUUCUUAUAAAGUAGAAUACAAACACAUGCUUUGGAUGUUCUGCACUCUAUUCUAAAAACAACACAUACAUCGUCAGAUCAAUCAUUUCUUUUAAUAUCCUAAAUCAUAAUUUUAUCUUGAACACUAGAUACAAUGUUGCACAUCUUUCAAAACAUCACUUCAAAAUACCAGAAUUUACAAAUAUUUUUAAACAAAAGGUGUCAAAUGUAUACCACUGGACAUCUAAAGUAGCUUCAAGGUUCAAACAUGGAAGAAAAACCACUUCCCAAAACAUGCUUGAUGUUGGAUCUUGGAGAGGUAUCUGCCUGAGUGCCUCUCGCUUUGUCCCAGACGUUGCUUAAUAAACCUGCCCUUCCUAGGGAUUGUAGAGUUUUUUCGAGGUUUCCUCCCCUUGCAUGAGCACCUCGAGAGCCUUUGACAACGUUGAUUAUACUUGAAAGAGAACUAUUAAGUGUCUGCAUUUUAAACUCGUGAAUUUGGUGAAAGAACGCUGCUUCCUUGCUUAGAAGUUGAAAUUAUUGGAAAUCUAUCUAUUGUUUUAUUAUUUAGAUGAAAUUCAGUGCAUUUAAGAAGCAAUUAGCUGCUUGUGUUUGUUUCCCAAUUUUCAUGGUUAAUUCAUUGUACAAUGUAAUUAACAUUGGUAUACAAUCCUACAAUUGCUAAGAAGCACAGAAACUGGUCGCCAGUCUAAGAUUUUGCAUUCUUGAUAUUUACUCCUAAACAAUGACAUUUUAUGAGGUCUCCUUCUGGCAUAUGUUAAUGCCAGAUUCCCCUACAUCUUUAAAUAUUUAGAUUUUAUUGAAAAUGUGGGAUGGAGAUGUUUUUGUUAAGUUACGGUCUAAAGAAGGCAUUCUGUAUUAAAACUGGGAGGAAAGGCGCGCGCAUAUGCGCAUGUGUGCUUCUGUGCUUGUCUGUAUUUCAUACUUGCAUGUAAGUGUGUGCAUAAGUGUGUUUCUGUGCUUGUGCAUUCAACUGAAUAUAUGUAUAUGUUUGAUUGUUUAGUGUCAAAUUUAUGCAAGGAUCAUUCUGUAUCGAUCCUAAAAUAGAUAUUACUUGGAUUUAUUCUUUGAUUCUAUCUUGGUUGGCAAAGCAAAAUAUUGUAAAAGGAGCUUUUGAAGUUGUUAAACUAAGAAAUAUUGGGGUUCCUUUUCUGCUUUAUCUUUAUCACGUCAUUGUUUAUCAUGUGAUUGUAAUAUACAAUCUCUUUAUGGAUUCAUGGAAUUUCUAAAUUAAUGUGGUCUUGGAAAAGGCCCGAUUGCUAGUUCUGAACCUGCUGUUCAUAAAGAUGGAAAGGAUGAGAUGGUUGGAUUAACAGUUGGAGAUGGCUCUAAUGUUUUUUAACCUUGGCGAAGACAAGGCACAUAUUCAUUCACUCUGAACUUUUUGCAACCUUUUGCUUGCUGUUCAUAUGGAAUCCUAUCCCCAGUUCGACACCAGAUACCUAACAUUGCUGACCUCUCAUUUGGCCACCACAAAUCUUUCAAGAUUAAGUUUUGGUCAAUUGAUUUUACAGCAUUAUUUAUGUUAUUUGUUGAAUCUAAUAUCAGUUUGUGUGUAUUUGCUAAAAUAUAACCACCAGCAAUUCAUUUACGUGCAUACACAUGAAGCAUUGUAUCUCUGGCUCAACUUUCUUAGCAUUGUAUCUACACUGAUAUCUAUGCAUACACAUGGAAUCCCACCCACAGUUCUACACCAGAUUCCUAACACUGCCCACCUUUCAUUUGGCUGCCACCCAUUACUUCUAGUCUUUCAAGGUUAAGUUUUGGUCUGUUGAUUUUACAGCUUUAUUUAUCUUAUUUGUUGAAUCUAAUAUCAGCUUUUGUUUCUUUGCUAAAAUAUGACCACCAUCAAGUCAUUUACAUGCAUACACAUGAAGUAUUUAUCUAUGGCUCAACUGGCACCUAAUUGAGCCUAUAGAGAGUGUUGCCACACCAUAUCCUGGGAAGUGCAAGAAAGAAGAUUCCCUGCCACAGGGAUUUACCAAUUCCCUACUAGUCGGACACGGUCAUGCUUGUCCUAGGUGAUGUUGCUAUGUGGAGAUGCUCACACACAUUGAGAACCACAGAUGUUCUCCACCUCUUUUUGAAUGAAAAACAUUUAGGGUUUGACACUGUUGUUGUUUUUACUACAUCCUCAGUUUCUUCAAAGCUAACUCCUUUUAACCUUCAAAUUUUGUAGUGCAGCUACCACAACAUAAGUAGAAUUAUUAACUUAUACAUUGCAUACUGUUCUAUAUGAGCACUCUUACUUUCUUAAAUUUUUGGUGAUGCUCUCUUCGUACUUGCAUUCUGCACCUUUUCCAUGUUUGAGGCAGCCCGGAGUUUUUCCCUGGGACCUUCUAUUUUGUGUGCACAUUUUUUGGUGAUUUUUUAGUAAAUUUACUCUCUUCCCCUGCAAGAAAAGAAAAAAAUAGUAAACUGAAGGAGCAACCAAGGUAUUUUAUACGAGACCCCUAAGGAGAGCUUGUGGAUAUGUCACCAAUCUUUACUUCUUCACUGCUGAUGUAUAUUAGUAAUGUUUGUAUUGAUGCUAGAGGCAAAAGUGAUCAGGAUCGACAAGGCUUUGAAAUAUAAUAAAAUGCUUGAAGAACUAUCCUGACUGGUGCUUGGACAUGGAUUUAGGCCUUUUCUUGUCUUGGUUUUGUAACUUUUCUGUUAAACUUUUAUUCUAUAGUUAGUGGGUGGCCCUUAUAAGUAUUGGAAGGGCACCGAAGGUUUUGCUUUGCUGAUUAUUGAAUAUGAGUUUCUCUUCAUCAAAUUUUUCUCUCUUUGUGUGUGAGGUGGAUGCUGUGGAAGCGUGAGGGCCUUGGAAGUAUAGUUCAACCUUAGAACUAGCAUGAGCUCUGUAGAAUAUCCUUCCCUCUUUUUUAUCUUGUUCUCCUUUUCUUUUUCUUCCCCCCCUUACCAAUCUUUCUCGUUCUUUGUUCUCUUUUCUCAUCUUUUUUUUCAAACCACCCACGCUGCACUGGAGAGAUGCCAACCGGAUUUUUCUGGGUUGUUCUUAAGCCUGGCUUGAUCACCCAGUGCAACAAUUGAGUCCAUUUUUGCUUUUUCUCAAUAAUAGCUUGCCUUUUAUAACUGCCGAUAAGACACUCAGACCUCUAUUUGGGGCUUCAAACUUAUCUCAAUCCCCUUUUGAAUUGUUAGAUCUAUCAUUUGUUGGUCCCUAGGUUGUGAUAAACCUUUUGUUAGAAGUUCAUCUUUACUCGUAGGCCUUUGGAGAUAAUAUCUUAAUGCUUAGAGACAAUUUGAACUGGUUGGAAUGGUUUCAUAGCAGCUUCAAGUUGGAUGUGACCUUGCAUCAUAGAAUUCCUUAAUAUUUGCUUGAAAGAUUGUGCUUGGAUUUAUGCUGCUUUUGUUAGCUCAAAACAGAUUUUUGGUGCUAUCUCACUCCACAAACUCCAUAAAUCUGAUAAUGUGUUGUAUUUGCUUGCUGUUACUAGCAUCACUUCACUUUUAUGUGCACGUUUGCAUGAAUUAUCAAUUUCUGCACAUAUUACGUUACUGGUAAGAGGGCUUAGGCUUAGUGAAUUGCAUUUUAAGGGAUGGAUGACCAAUGGCUAGAGGGACAAGUUAUUGUAGAAGAGUUUAGAUGCAAUGCAUGACCAACUAGUAAGUUAUCACAUGUUUUCAUAAGUGCAGGGGUGGGCUAUCAUCUUGGAGCCAUGUUAGAAAGCACCAUUGCUGGGGUGGAAUCUUUGGAGAUCAAAGCUUCACCAUAGGCUUGUUAGACAGAUAUCCCAUAUAUCAUUGUGGUAGGCAAGGUUCGCCAUCUUGGUACCGGACCCCAUAUCGGUACCAUCCUAUUAUAGUGUUGGUAUGCGGUACAAUACAAGAUGGCGAGGCAUACCGAGUGCUGAUAUGGUAUGAGAAUGUGUACUAGUACGGUAUGGUAUGCUUGAUAUAGUACAGUACCAAUUGGUAUGGAAAUUCUUGGUGGUACGCAUGAUGAUUAUAGAUUGCAUGGUCAAUGUAGGUGUAAUGCUCAUGAUAUGGAGGAUGACAUGGCUGAAGAUAUCAAUGUUGACAUGCCUAACCUUGGCAGCCAAAUGAAUUGUAAGGCAUUUAGUGUUUGAUUAUCUGACAUGUAUCAUCACUCUUAUCAGUAUAAUAUAUUAGGGUUUGGUUUGUCAAAGUGAGACUGACAGGCAAGUCAAGGUCCAUUGGACCAGUGUCACAAGGCAGCUUGAGCAUUUCGUACAUGAUUCUACAGCAAAUUGGGAAGGGUUGCACGAAAUACUAACAGAAUAACUGGGAACGAGAUCCAAUACAGUUACUACUGGCUAUAUGACAAAAAAUUUGUAACUUUGGGGAGGAAAGGGAGCUUGUUCUUGGAGCCCUCAAUAACAUAAAUAAUACUUUCCUAUUCAUGUGUUGAGGUUGAACAAAGCGGACAUGUACAAGAGUUUAAAAGUAUCUACAUAAGAAAGAUGUUGCUGGGAUGAUUGGAUUUUGGGUUUGAUGAGGUAUGGGGUGGGCGAGAAACUACUGUUAACAUUUUAAGGGCUCUUAGAUAGGUGAAUGUAAUGUGUGAUCCUUUUUUGUAAGAUGUUUGGUCUAGUUUCUUGAGUUAUUAUUGGCAGUGCAUGAUGGGUGAGGGCCUUUAGCCUUUUAUACUAAGGAUUAUUUUAAGUGAUGAUGAACUUGUGCCUUGCCUUUUUUCCAUUCUUCUUGGGGCACUAGUUGUUGGGGCGCUUAGGGCUUGUUUGGUUCGCGGGAAGUAUUUUCUCUCCUAGGAAUAUGAUUUCUGGGAAGAAGAUUCCUAGGAAGAGAAUGCUUGGGAAUGUACUUUUGGUAUGUUUGGUUAAACAUGGGAAAGUGACAGAUUUUCAGAGUGCUUAUGUUUGGUUGACCAUCCACUUUCCUAGGAAAGCUAUGUGUAAUUCCUAUUAUACCUUUAAUAAAAAUUAGGUCUUUAAUGCCUCUUUAAUGCUGAAGGGCCUUUUUGGAAAAAAAUAAAAAUGGAGUGAUUUUCGUCUUAUGGGAAAGUAACUUCCCAUGUUUCUCAUGGGAAAGAUUUUCCUAUGUUUCUCACGGGAAAGACUUUUCCAUGAAAUAUGGGAAUCAUNNNNNNNNNNNNNNNNNNNNNNNNNNNNNNNNNNNNNNNNNNNNNNNNNNNNNNNNNNNNNNNNNNNNNNNNNNNNNNNNNCCCACGAACCAACGAGCCCUUAAGAUAAUCAAUUCUGUCAAUGGAAUAGCUAGGCUUAUAAUUUGUAUAUUUCUUUUGUGGUUUUAUUGAUAGCAGGACUCUGUUCAGUAUCCCUGAGUAAUGUUUGAUCUAUAAUGGUCUCAGACUGUAUGCAGAGAUCUAAUAGAGCAAAAUGUGGAAAUUUUGUUAUGCAUGGGUUUUCCUUUGUGGUAUUGAUUUCUUCAUAGGUUGGACUGUUCCAUUCCUAACAUAGUGACUAUAUCCUAGGAGGAUUGGUUGUCUAGACAAGCUUCAUCCUUCAUUGGUAAGGAGAGGAACAAUUAUCAGGAGAUAAUUGCUAACUUUCACAUCGUCUGUUGUGAAGUUGAAACAUUUGAUUGAGCUGAAUAAGAGUUUCUGAUGGGCUAAUAUAAUAUCAGAAUUUAUUAUCUGUGCUGUUAUCAUGUAUAGUAAUCUGUUGUGAUCUUCAAUACCUCACAAAGCCUUGUGCUUUUUCUUAUUCCUUCUAUUUUUUUUAAAAUGCUGGCUAGAUCUUCCAGGUUAGGCUAGUUGGCAUUUUGGGUCAUUCUGUUGCUUUCCAUCUUUGCUUGCCACCUAUAAGAUAAUUGAUUGGGUCUGGUUUCUCUGUGAUCAUAAUUUAUGUGUCUAAUGCAUAACUGAAUUAUGGUUAAUUUCCUCCCUGUUUGCUAUAAAGUUGGAUCAGGUUAGCAGAACAUGGAGAGUGGCAUUUAUUAUAUGUUAUGCCCAUCAUGCAAGACAUGUUGAACAUACUCUCUAAUCUCUAUGGUUUAGAUCUGAUGAUUCCUUCAUAUUAACACAUAUCUUUUCUUAGUGUUAAAUGACUGAAGCACAUUAAAAAUAUUACAAAUCAUUAUUAAACAGCUGGAUGAUUGUGAAUUACUUUCAUGAACUAGUUUACUUUAAAUUAAUAGGAUGCUAGGAGCCAGGAAGAGUUUUGGCUAUCCUUCAAUUUUCAUAUAAUAAAACUUUAUUUUGAUUUUUUGAUUUGACCCAGCUUUCAAAUAUUUAGGUAUGCAUUCUGGCUUGACUGUUUAAGGCUUCAAGCUAAACUUUUGCAGAAAUAUAAUGAAGUCCAUACAUGUUAUCAGAAAAUUCUUAUUUUGAGUACUUCCAAUUUUAAUACCCCCAUUGUUUGGGUCAAUAAUUCCUAGCUUCCUAGUAUUUCAUGUAUGUCUUCAAUGUCUAUGUAUGAAUUAUGAGUUUUAUUGAAACCUUACUAUUAUAUCAAUAACUUUGAACUUUUAUUUAGUUUUAUUAGCUUUUUGUACUUUGUAAUCAAAAGAAAUGUUACAAGUAUUCUUUGAGAAUGUGGCUUCCUCUAUUGUGCUUGCAGGUGCUAAGGGAUUUGUUAGUAGAUACAUGUUUUGACAUGUUACCUUUAUCCUUCCCCUCCUUUUUCUGAUAAUGGUGGAGCCUGAUACUACAAAAGCCAUUGGGCAUGUGAGUGAAAUUAUCUAUAGUGCUACCAUAAUAUUUGGUAGGCAUUAUCUGGGAUCUUUAGUGGAAGAUGCAUGUUUUAGAUAUGUUACCUCUUGUGCUCUUUUCUGUUAAGCUAAUUUAUAGUGGUUUGAGACAUGGAAAAAAAUCAUCAAAAUAUUCAUCUGUUUGCUUGCAUCUUGCUUGCUUCUUUACAAAAGGAUGUUGUUGAAUUCUUGUAAUGGACAAGGCAUGAUUUCAUUCAGUAGAAUAACACUUUUGUUUUGAAUUUUAUUUUAUUUUAUCUUGUGUUCUAUGGCUUUAAAUUCUCUAAAUAUCCAACACUGGUUAAGCACUUCCUUUUCAUACCUUAUCCUUAUUUUGCAGUUUUUGGCUUGUCUAUUGUGGCUUUAUAUCACACAUGUUACAGUUCUAGAACGUUGAGAUGGUUUUUGAAUAGCAGGUUGCAAGAUGUAGUACACAGUGAGAAGCGAAUAUACUUGGUCUUUGAGUAUCUGGACCUGGAUUUGAAAAAGCACAUGGAUUCUUGUCCAGAACUUGCUAAAGAUCCAUGCUUAAUAAAAGUGAGCGUCUUAUUCUGUUUUAUAUGCAUUCAUUAUAAAUUUUACAUUCACAUUACAGUCCUUACAUAGUACGUUGGUAGUGAUUAGUCAUUUACUUGUAAGAAACCCUAUGUGGCUUUACGGUGUGACCUGUAUUCUUUAGAAGAUGUUCUAUUUCACUUCGCUAUUUCAUGUCAUCCUAUACUGUUGAACUUGUAUGAAUUAGUCCUUCAAAUUGCUACUUGUUUUUUAAACAUAUCAAGGUACCUUCUUUCAGAAAGCUUCUUAGAAUUACUAGAAUACUUGCUGAUAUUAUUGGAGAAGAUCCUAUCAUCAGGUGGACUCAUUAAGCUUCCUAGAAUGUUUAAUUCGGAGCCCUUUCUUCUUUUUUAUAUGAUCUCUUCUUCUAGCUACAUUCUUUUCCAUUGGUAAGACUAAAAAAAAGUAUUAUUCCUGGUUGCUAAAUAUAUCUCAUAUAUGCUGGGUAAUAAUGUGGAUCCAUAUUGAUCUGCAUUAUGUUUUUUUUUUUGUUAACUGUCAAGUACUUAAUCACUUAUAACUAUUAUAAUGGUAUAAUGAUUUGUGUGUUAAUCAUAUUUCUUUCUACAUGGGUUGUGUUUUAGUUUGCUCUUUGGCACAUAAUUUGUGCCUUAAAGAUUUGUUUCUUAUUGUCAUACCUGCCAUAUUCCUCCAUUUAGACUCUUUCCCAGGUCAGAAGUGUGGAGGUUUGUUUCUUGCUUGCAUGAACUUAAACCAUGAGCAAUGAGUAGGUCCAUCCACCUAACAGACUGGUACUCUAGGUCUCGUGGCAGGCUCUCUUGGCCAACUCCCUUGGCAAAGAAUCCAGCAGCAAUUCUAAGAGGGUUGGUGUUACAUUGACACCUAAUAUGAGAAUUCUGGCCAAUCGGUCCAUGGAUGCUUAGCGACAGCCAUGCUCCUUAUAGAUCUAAUUUUGUUAAAAGCAGUUUGUUGAUGAUGAUAAAUACAUGCUAUAAUGCUAUAUAAUUGAGGAUUACUAUCUUAAAUAGUAUUAAUUGAAAUAGUGUGGCUAACCUACAAAAUUUCUAACCAUUUGAUGUAUGAGCUAAUUUACUAUAUGGCCAAAGUAAAUAAUUAAAAAUGCCAGAUGACGGCUGCAGUCUCAUUUUAGGUUACCAUCAUGUUAAACUUCAGGGCUGAUAUCCUUCUUCUUUCUUCUUUCUGCAGACGUUUCUUUACCAGAUUCUCCGUGGUAUAGCAUAUUGCCAUUCUCAUAGAGUUCUUCACCGAGAUCUGAAGCCUCAGAACUUGCUUAUAGAUCGGCGCACUAAUGCCCUGAAGCUUGCAGACUUUGGACUAGCCAGGGCAUUUGGUAUCCCUGUCCGGACAUUUACUCAUGAGGUAUCUUUGUGCUUCGGCAAUUUUUCUUACAUUCCUCAGUAAGUUCAGUUUUUUUACUAGGUUAAAAAUUGCUUUCCUUGUGACUCAGAGGAGAAAUUCACAGGACAUUUCUGUUGAAAAUGACUCUGUGAAAUUAAUUUUACUUUGAAAAAGAAGAUAGAAUAAAAGCAUAUUGCAUUAAUUUGAGAUUUUUUGGUGGUAUACAUUUCUUUGGCUGUUUCUUUAACCAUUCAGCAUAUAAGGGUGUUUUCAUGUUUGUUUUGACAUUAAAAAAAACUCCAUCUUUCAAUCAUGAACGUGAAAUUCUCUUUCAAUUUUUGUCCCUUCUGGUGAUGCCAUCGGACAUUUUUUUUCUUAUACUUCUCCCCCAUAGGUGGUAACACUGUGGUAUAGGGCACCAGAAAUUCUGCUAGGGUCUCGGCAUUACUCUACUCCUGUUGAUAUUUGGUCGGCGGGCUGUAUUUUUGCUGAAAUGGUGAACCAACGGCCACUGUUCCCUGGAGAUUCUGAGAUCGAUGAAUUGUUUAAAAUUUUCAGGUUUUACAGAUACCUUGGUGUUGAAGUUUUAUGUUAUGGUUGCACUCUGUGCUACUUACGUGCCUAACACUACAUUUGCAAUUUCUUCUGCAUGUGUGACUACGAAGAGUUUUGGGUACUCCAAAUGAAGAAACUUGGCCUGGUGUUUCUUCCUUGCCUGACUACAAGUCUGCUUUCCCCAAGUGGCCUCCCAAGGUAUUGAAUAAAUUAAGUAACGUGUUCCUGGAUUUGUCAGCAUUUUCUUAUUCUUAUUUGUGACAUCCACUUCAGAUUAUUAUUGCCCUUCAUCUCUGUUUUAUACUAUGAGACAUGACCUACUGAAAUUCCAUUUUUAUUUACUAAAGCAAUUAAAUCUAUUAAAGGUUAUUAGUUAGUGUACAUUAGCCGACCAUGAUAACCAAUUUUUUUUUCCUAUUAGAACUGCUAUAACCAUUUGGGAUGACGCAAGGUCCUGAUCUGGUGUUGGCUGUGCAGGAUCUAGCAAUGGUGGUCCCGAAUCUUGAACCAGCAGGGAUUGAUCUUCUCUUGGUAUGAUACUAACAAAGGUGCCUAGGCACUCUGUUUUUACUUAUUUGCUGUGUCAUAUAUGCUAGAGAAUUGCUAGAUUUACACAUUCAGGAGUAAAUACUAUGUUUCUGGUUUCUUAUUCUCUCUCACUAAAGGUGGCCGGCAUAGCGCAUGGCAUGCAUAACUGCUUAAUGUACAAGCAUGUUGAUCUGGCACAGCUAUUCUCUGGGUAUAGAGUCAUUAAAAAUGCCAGUUGUAGAAUAAGGAAUGCCAUAUAUAUUGGGAUGCAGAAAGGAGGCCGCAUUUAAUAAUCGUUUUUAAAUUCUGCUGGCGAGCUUGCAAGUACAGUAGCCUGGUUAACUUCAGAUCUCAUUAAGUGCAUCAUUUUCAAUGCCCCUUCUGCUGUAACUGUAUGAUCAUUGGAUCAAUGAUGUGGUUAUAUCUGAUGUGGAGAUGCUCAUUUUACAUUACUUGGUAAAUCUAUCUGCAGUUGGGUAAGGAGCAGAAAUAGGUUGUUUCACAUACUUAAUGAUGACUUUCUGGCUGCUAAUGAUGUAAUUUAUGCUCAUGUUUCACAGAAAAUGCUUUGCUUGGAACCAAGCAGAAGAAUCACAGCUCGGAAUGCUCUUGAGCACGAGUACUUCAAGGAUAUUGGGGAGGCACCAUAAUCUGCAUUUUCGUUCUUUCCUCUGUAUAUAAUCUCAGGCAAGUCAUCAGAUGUGCUGCAACUUGUUGGUGUUGAACCGGAUCUGUGUGUUUCCUUUGCCCCUUUUGUUUUCGGCUCCACCUUGCAACUGGUUCUUGUUUGUGUAGAGAAGUGGAAACCUGAGAUGGGAACUGGGCUUGUCUUCAUUAAAAUUGAAUGCAAAAGCAUAAAAAGAAAAAAAAAAAUGCGGCGUUUCUUUUCUUGUUCGAGAGGGUAGUUUAUGGCUCAUCUAAAUUGCUGAGAUGUAUUCUGUAAAGCCUAGAUUUACUGCUUCCAUGGAAUUGCUUCCUUGGAGGGAGAAGGCUAUCAUUUCUCAAUCAGAGUUUCUAGAAAUAAAUGGAGAACCCUGAUGUAGUUUCCUUAGUUAAUGCCACCUUUUGUAUUGAAGAGGCUAGUGAUCCUUGUUGCCCACGGAUAUGAUUGACAAAAGGUUGUCUACACCAGCAUUGCCUGACUACAUGCAAAUGCUGAGGCUUGUGAUUCUCAGACUCGGGCAUUUGCAGCUAGUACAAAAGUUGGUGAGUAAAAAACUGGUGGAUUAGAGUAGUUGCUUAGCUCCUAGUUGCAAUGGGGCUUUACUUUAUGGUAGCUAGCUUUGUGGCCUUGAUCAAUAUCUAAACAAAAUUAUGAAUAGUUUCUUAUCUGGAUCUUGAAUUAUUUUUUCGGUCCACAACAGGCUUGUUUUUAAUCCCCUAGUAUUUAUUUGAUAAAGAUGAAUAUUAUCCAUGUCUUGUAGAUACUGCUGCAAGCGACGAAUUUACAUUUUUUUUUGGAUUUUAUACAUCUAACGAUAUAAGUGAUGUUUGCAUCUAGACAAACACAUUGUGUAUAGUCAUCAAUUGUGUAUAUACGAAAUAAUGUUUAUAUUAUAUUACAUGUCUAAAUAUUGACGCAAGGAAAAUAUAGCAUUAAAAAAGAAACACAUAUGUGCUAGUUAUCAUGUUGAAGAUAGAAAAAAAUAUUUACUUGAUCAUUAAAAACAAUUCUUUAGUUAAAUACUAUCCGGGACAUGCAAUACGUGUUCAUUGUUCAUGAGAAAAAGAGCAUUAUAGGGGGAUGUUAUGAUAUUAAAAUGAAAUGAACAAGAAAGAUUUGUUACCUAAAGUGAAAUACUAAGACCCUAAAGUCAUUUCAAUAGUAGUAAAAUAAUAAAUAAUCCUAAAGGUUUUCGAGCCUCGUGCAUAUUGGAAUCUAAGCCCUUUGCAUAUUAUGCCUAAAGAUGCAUAUAAACCUUAUCCUAAUCUAUACUGAGAACAUCAUGAUGUACACAUAUUAUUAAGAUAAAAACACAAUGAUACCUAUCUACAUAUAUACAUUUAUCCAUUAAAAACUGUGAUUGGAGGCUAAAGUUGGCCAUAUUGGUCAUAUUAUUUUUGUUGUGUAGGCUAUGUAGUGAAAUAAGAAGAAUACAUGGUUCUCUUAUGCUCUAUUUGGAUGCCAGAUCAAAUUAUCCAUGCAAUGGUGUAUGCUUAGGCUGUUACUCAAAGAUGCAAAAGAAAAAGGUCAUAAGAAGAUGAAGAGGUUUAGCAUGCGAAUGAGGCUUCGAUUCCAUUAACCCAAAGUUUUUGAGAUAUGAGGAAUCACUUUUUUAUUCAACUUAGUUAAUCUUGAUUUUUCAGAUGAGUAAUGCCACGGGGGAGCCUACUACGUGCAUUAAAAAAAGGACCUCUUUAUCAUAUGACGCAAGGAGAUUGGUGUAAUUGAUGAAAAUUGUUGCCAAACCAGGGUAUCCAGGGAAGGGUACCGGAGGUUCAGUCAUGAGGACAUUUGAGUAAUAAAUUACCAAAAAACAGAAAAAUGGACGAGAGAAGCUUUGUUUAUCCGCUUAUCAAGUCUCUCAAAACUGUUUGUUGAUUUAUCUUUUGAUAUUGAAAGUAGUGCUAAAUAAAGAAAAAGGUAUUUGGAAGCUAGUUCAAGUUCAACUCCCUUAGAUAUGAAAUGAGUCAAAAAGCUUGCCUUAAUUUAGCUUGAAUUAUAACAAUAUAAACAAGUUGUAUAAUAAUAAUAAUAAUAAUAUAUUAUUUAUUUUUUAAAAUUCUUUAUUUUAAAAUUAUGAAUUAAUGAGUUAUAUAGAUAGAACGGAUUUCAACUAUAAGAUUAAAAUAUAAUUAAAUUAUUACUCUAAACUAUAUAAAUAAAAUUCUCAAAUAGUUUGAGAUUUUUAAAACAAACUGCUCGUGAACAGCUCAAGCUUAGUACACUUAUAAAAUGAGCCAACUUUGAACUCGAGCUAGUUUAGUGUUUGGUUUCUUUUCACCACUGUCUGCAACAAUGCCUUUGAUUCCCUUUUCAUAUGCCCUUUUACCUCCUUUGUUCGUUAUCUACUUGUUUAAUGGAUAACCUUAUCAUUAAUAACUUGCUUUGUCAAACCAUUUUUAAUAAUAAAAGUUAUUCAAAUUUUACUAUAAACACACACACACACACACACACACACACACACACACACACACACACACACACACAUAUAUAUAUAUAUAUAACUAUUCUCUACUAUANNNNNNNNNNNNNNNNNNNNCACACACACACACACACACACACACACACACACACACACACACACACACACAUAUAUAUAGAUAUAUAACAUUUCUCUACUAUUAUAAUGGUAGAAGGUUUGUUGCUGAAUUUAGAGUCGGUAAUUAGAUUUUUUAUGGGCUCUAGAUAAAAGAAUUUAUGAGAACGCAUCGAGUGGGCUAAACCUUGAGAACCACAUAGGAAAAACUGUAGGCCUGUGCCUUAAAUAAACAGAAUUCAAACUUCCGCGGGUGUCACACCCUGAACCUAAUGCAUAAUAGAUGCUGCAUAUUUAUAGGAUGAACCAUACAAGCAUACAAGGCUAUAGAUCAAAUCAUAAUAAUUUCAAAGUAAUCAUAAUAAUUCUUCGAUCCUCGAGAUUAAUUUCAUCAAAAUCCAAUCAAAUUAUUCUCAUAAACAAAUAUCUCAAAAUAUGAUGAGUCAAAUUCUUAUCAUUUAAUCCAAAUAAACUAUCCAAAAUUAAAUUAAAUCAAUCUAAACUAAACUAAGCUAAAAAUUCAAAUAAUCACGAAUAUCUUUAGAAGUUCUAGUGCAUUUCUUCAAAUUCCAAGUAAUUAUAAUUCAAGAUUUAAAAAUAGAAAAGAAAGAAUAAUGAGCUACUCUAGCCUACUAAGUAACAUAACAUACCAAACCGCGGUCUAAAAAUACCAAACAAAUAAAUAAUCAAGUAGCAUUAUAUUGAUUGGAAAUAAAUUAAAUCUCGAGUAAUACACAUAUUUUUUUUAUAAAAUAUUACUAAACGCAAUAUCAAGCUAUGACCACGUAACCCGGUGGCAUAAAAUCAAAUAGCAGAUACAAAGGGCACAAAAUGCCAGAUAACAGAUAACACUAUUUUAAUCAUGAAUGGUAGAGUAUCAAAACUAGUUUCAUAGAUUAUAAGUCGACAGGGCCAACGAAUAAUCUCAAUUGAUAGGACCAAAUUAUAGCCGUGCUGAGAAUAUACAUAAGAAUAUAUAUAUAUAUAUAUAUAUAAUUUAUCCAACUAUAUUUUUAAAAUUUAUUUUAUAAGAGUAUUAAGAUACAUAUCAUAUUUAUAAUUAUGACCGUAAUAAUAACAUGCUCAACCUAUUUAAUUAAAUUUAAAAUAGAGAUCAUAAUCAAAUUUAAUAAACUAAUUAUAUUUUUCUAAAGGUCAGAAAAUAUAUAUACUUGGAAGCUUAGGUUACUUACCUCUUUCCGUUUCAAAAUCCUGCUUUAGUUAGGCAGAUUUCACAUAUUCAAAUCUAUUAAAAUCCGAUAUCAACAACCUCGAAAAGCAAGAGAAUUCAAAACGAGUUAAGUUCGAAAGGUACGAAAGAUCAAAACGAUUUUCUGAUUAUAAUAAAAAUUAUUCAGGCCCGGGUCCGGUACUUACUCGGUCUUCGGGCUUUGAGUUCUACCAGCCAAUAUAUAUUCCAUGGACUUCGUUUCGUGGACGCGUUGUUUUAGUCUUCCAGGAGCAACAGACAUAUGAAACGUGUCGAAGGGACUCCCAUGCAUGCUGACACCGAAGCCCCUUCCCUCCUUGCAGCCAUUUUCCCUUAAACUGGUGUAAAAAUUUAUAUACUCUCACAGUCUCACCGCACCGCCACCUCUUCUCCAUAAUCCUAUCAGCUCUUCCUUCCCUUGUGCACGUUCUGAACUUCUGAUAAUCAUCAACUCGUUCUCAUGGCUUUGGAGGCAUCUCCCCCUUUGCUCCGCCCACAGCAUGAAGAGAACGGUGGUGGUGUUGGGAGAGAAGGCUUUUGGAGUGAGGAUAGCGUCAAGAGUGCAAUCGAUGCGGGUCUUGACGCCAUUGUUACCUCCUUCUCCCUCAUCUCUUCCAUCUCAGCUACUCGCCUCGCCUCUGGUACGUACUUUUAAGUCUGCAUUUAAUUAGCUGCUGCUUCGGUUGUUCUCGUCCGGUACUUGAAGUCCCAACUUAAUUAGCUUCUGCUUUUGUUAUUCUUCUAUGAUAAAUUUGAAUUCCUGAUGCCCAGUUAUUUGAUUCAUUAUAGUAUUGCCUUGGGAUCUUCGGUUGUUAAUUAGUUAAUAGCAUGGUGAAGACCCCCCAACUUAUAAAGUAGGACUUGUUGAGUUGGGGUUCCCCACCUUUUUCUUUUUUCUUAUGUUCUUCCUGUUCGUACAUAUUCUAAUGAAACCUGUGGUGGUAUUUUUCACCGUUUUGCUAAAAAAAAAAAGAAGUUUUAAGUUGGUAAAAUUUCUAGCUAGUUGUACUAGAGAUCUAGGCUUGAUUCCAACUUAAAGAAUCCAACUUAAGGGAUCGGUAGAGUUUUUUCAGUAGUUGUACUGGAGAUCUAGAUUGGUAUAAGUUUUUUAGUAGUUGUACAGAGAACUAAAGUUCAACUUUCAUUUCUAAAUGGGUACGAAACCAAGUUUCCUAUGCAGGACACUGCACAGAACAGUUCAACCGAGAUUUGGAGGUGCCAUCUUGUGUUGAGUGGUUCACCAAAAACUUAUUUCAUAAUGGUGUCUGAGUCUCAAAGUUGCUGGUGUUUUCAGCAGCGGCGCACAAAGGAAAGAAAUAUUUUGCUCUGCAAUGGACCGGAAUGUUUUUUUUUCUUUUCUUUUCUUUCAUUUGCGUUUAUUUUGUGUUCCUGCAUGAGUUGGUGCAGUUGAUGUCUUGGUGCUGGGAUUUGCAAAUUUGGUGGCUCGUGGCAUAUCAAUGGGUUUUGGAGAUUUUGUAUCAACCAGCACUGAGAAUGAGAUGGCCAAGAAGGAGAGGGCGACGACCGAGCAGGACGUGAGCAAGUCCAUCAGCUCCCAGCAGGCUGGGUUGCUCUCCACAUACCAAGCAUUAGGGUUGGAUUUGGAGGACGCCACAACAGUAUGUCAUCUUUGCAUUGGUCAUUUCCUCUUUGCUAGAAGCCAAGAACAUAGUCUGAUAUAACUUCUACCUUUGGGGUUAUUGUCAUCACACCAAAGCAAAUCUAGAUCUUUUGUCACAUCGAUGCAAACUUAUGAACCGUCUCGAACUGCCCGGUUCGGAGCGUACCAAGCCGUGCCGGCAGCGGACCGGAAUAGUUCCGGCCUUUAUAAUGUGAAACCAGCAGGGGGAGGAGAGAGAGAAGGAAAUAGGGGAAUAGAGAGAGAGAGAGAGGAAGGNNNNNNNNNNNNNNNNNNNNNNNNNNNNNNNNNNNNNNNNNNNNNNNNNNNNNNNNNNNNNNGAGAUCUCCGACGACCCUCCCUCCUCUCUCUCCCUUCUCUCCCCACUCAUUUUUUCUCUCUCGUUCUCCAUCUUUUGUGUUGGUAUGGGCCCGUCACGAAAUGACACGAAGGCAUAUCAAACCAUACCGCCAACCGAUUGGUACAACCUUCAGUACUAACACGAUGAAUCUUGCAUAUUGGAAUCAUUUAAUGCAUGUUUGAUAGAAAGAUUAUAUUAGCAUAUUAAGUAUCAUUACCGUAUCCAUGAACGGCAAGUCCUGUUCUAAUUCACUGUAGUUGAUGAUGAAUCCUUUGAAACUUCAUUAGUUUGCAUCUUUUGCUCCAAAACAUCCACCCUUUAUUAAUUAUCAAGUCUGCCAUCUAUAUGUCCUCAAAGAAUAGUAAACACAAUUCUUCUUCUUUUCAGGCAAUAUUCUAUUUUUCUCUAUUAAAAUUGCAUGGAUGAAGAGAUAUGUGUGCUUACAUAUAUUAUUCCCUAUAAUUUAAACCCAACAAAAUUUUUCUUAACAUCUUAAUCUUUAUCAUAUUUGUACUAUCAGCUUCUUUUUCUCUUCUAGAUAUUAGUAACUCUUCCACGUAGCAUUUUAAGCAUUACAACUAUCCUUAAAAAAUCCAAAAAGUUUUAUCAUCAUUCAUCAAGCUUCAUUAAUUUGUAUCUCAGGUUCUCCGAUUUGUUGCCAUGGAAAUUUUGGUUGAUGAGUGCAGGUUGUGAAUGUGUUCUCAAAAUACCAAGACAUAUUGGUGGAUGAGAAGAUGACUGCCCAGAAAGGGGUGCUGCCACCUCGCCAGACCGAGAAGCCAUGGAAGAGUGGGCUCAUCAGCUUUGCAGCCUUCAUCUUGUUUGGCAAUGUUCCCCUCCUCUCCUUCGUCGUCCUCAUUCCAUUCACAGGGGAUGAUUCCACCAAGUUCCUUGGGGCAUGCCUUCUCUCGGCCCUUGCUCUUGCGCUCCUCGGGCUGGCCAGGGCCAAAAUCUCAGGGCAGUACCUGCACUCUGUAGCAGCUACUCUAUUCAAUGGUGGCAUUGCAGCAACCUGUGCAUACUUGAUAGGGUGGAUGCUUCGAAAUGCGGCCGGUUUGCAUGACCAAACAAAAGGACAUUAAACUGCAUCCACUCUCAUCCUGGAGGCUAUCUGUAGAUAUUAACAAAUUAAUGUCAAAGAAAAUCCUUGACCUGAUAUGUUUGCUCUUAACUUUGAUGCGUAGCUGUAUUCAUGAAUCUAGAACAGUUUGUUGUUUCUCUUGUUUUUUCUAGUAUAGUAUUAUCAAUAGAUUUUUUUUGGCAUGUAACUUUGCAAACAGGAUUUAUUGCCAGAUAAAAUGGUUCGAGCUAAAAUAAUAUCUAACAUGUCCAUGUUAAAAGAAGAUCACUUAGCCAGCUUGUAAGGAAUUAAGAUUUUAGUUAUUACUGCCAAUUAUUAUAUUUUUUUUCUUUCACUAAUUGUAGUCUAUUAUUAUGACACUCUAGAGUUCAUUUAUUCUGGCUGUUAUUUCAAGUCACACAACCUGCAAGUGAGAGUGCACCCUAAAGUCCAGAGCAUGGGGAGGACAGUGAGUCAAUCAAAGAUCCUAGAAGAUCCCUCUCAGCAAAUCCCGGAAGACCAAAUGUGCAAGACAAUUAAUUUGGAGAGUUCAGACUGCUAGCCCAUUUUGACACAUUGUUUAUAACAACUGACAAAUUGGUGGCAUAGACUUUGUGUUUGGGAAUGGUACAGGUUUCUGUUUUGAAAUGGUAUACACUUGGUCUUUGGACAUGGUAUAGGUCUUAGUGUUCCCUGCUGAAUUGGAGAAAAUUAAUACAAUUUAAUCAUCGACAAUUUAUGUAAUGUGGAACAACUGGUGAUCGAGCAGCUCUGCAUUACACAAGUGACCGGUGAGGUGGGAGCGAACCUCUCCAGCUCCAUCACAGAGUCAGCCUCUUCUCUUAAGAUCCCAUCCUUGCAUCUUCUGGUCUUAGGCACCUAAAUUCAUCAUAUCUCUUGUUUUCCAGAAGUUGAUGGUGUUGAAUUGGCUCAGAUUUUUUGAACUGCGUUCCCAACAUAUCAGGAUCAUGGCAGCUACCUUUAUUUAUCUUUUCCACACCAUGGGGAGACAUCAGCAGACAAGGCAAGCCUCAGUAUUCACCAAAUUUUGAAUAGAUUCCCAUGCGGCAUGCUUCUAUAUUCCUGCUUGCAAGACUCUGAUCAUACCGGACUCCAAACUUUCCACAUGGAAGGACUUUUUCAGAUGAAAAGUAUGAGGGCAAAAGUCUUACCAACCCUUACCAGCAUAAGUAAUCAAUACCUUAAUCCUUUUGUCAACUACCUGGUAGAAUCUAUCAGACAAAUUUGCCUUUUAAAGCCUGAUCAACAGUUUCCAACAUCUCUCAAUGAUGUGGACAUGUCUGCAGAUAAUUAUAACAAUGGGAAUUUAAAAUAUCCACAGAAUCAUUCUUUCCUAGAGUGCACAAAAGAACUGAAGCAAGCUGCUAUUUGGUGGCACAAUUAGAAACAAACCUCCCUUUGUAACUUAAGAACUUGAAGCCACCUAAACCUUGUUUAGCAAACUUCAAGGAUCAAAAAGACUUUGGCUCAGCGCUCCAUAUAAUUGAGUAAACAAUUGAUCAAAGUAAACCCACCAGUUUCAUCACCAAAUUAUCAAGAUUUACAACGCACGAUCUCAUUCUCACAGAAAAACACCCGUAUGGUGCUUCUACUGACACACAAGCAUAUAUUAUAUGUCAUUACAUUUUGGAGCUGCCCUCCCGCAAUACAUCGAAUUAACAUAAUCAAAAAUUAGCCAAAAAGGGUACAAGAGUUCACUCGCAUGUUCAGGUAACACACUCCGAUCAGUGAAAUCUCUAAGUCAUACAUCAGCAGAAUGUCCACAGGAUCUUAACAAACGAGUGAAGACCUGAGAGAUGGUGUGCUUGAGAGGUGCGUGCAUGACGCCCAGCGUAUGACUGACUCCGAAACCAUGAGAUCAAGCUGCUGCUCGUGCUCCCCAAGUCCAAUUGUGUGGUUGCGCCUCUUGUGGAUACCGGCAGUUCUGGAUAAAGCUGUCGUGCCCUUUCUAACCUCAGCCCCCUUGUGUUCUGAUUUUCUAACAUCAUGUCUCAAGAAAGCUGUAAGAUCGGGAGGCAUGAAGAGCUUCCCAAAGCUGGAGUCUGCGGUACACAACAAACAGAGAGACUUUAGUUAACAAGAACAUAACACAUGAAUUCAGAAGCAGAAGUGGGACAGCUUUUACCUCUCUGAAUUGUGUUGGCCUUUGAUCUGUCACUUGUGAAACCCAAAAGGUUUUCUUGAUCAUUCCGAGGACUGAAGAAAGCAAAACUAGGCAUCAAUGGAAUCGGGGACGAGAAUUCGAGACUGUUUGACUCAAAGCUGCUGUGGAAAGAUAAACCAACAGUAUGGGAGAGAGCAGAGGCAUCAACAACAAAAGUAGAGAAUGAUGAUCUGCAAGAGAAUGCAGGGGAAGAAUGAUCUGCCUGAGUUUGGCAGGGAGUAGGGGAAAGGGUACUAAAGCUGACAUCACGACUUGCAUUGACAAGUGGGGUAGAGAAAGAACAACUUCCCAAGUCUCCACGUCCCAAAUUUAUAUCAUUGCAGUGACCACAAGGAACAUUUGGUUGCUCUACAUGUUCUUUAAUCCAGGAAUGAUCUGCAGAAGGGAAGAAAACAGCUCAAAGGCUAGGACAUGCCAUCAGCUGAACCAAAUGAUUACAAUACAAAGGAAUGAUCUGUAUGAUGGUACAAGCAAUCCCAAACCUCAGGUCUGAGAUGGCCAUGCAAUAUGGCCCGGGAAGCUCCAAAAUUGGAAAAAGCCACCACGAAUCAGAGAAAAAGUGAAAAACAGAAAAUGACUUGCAUAUGGUUGACACUAUAACUCCCUUCUUUGGAUACUGUUGUCGGCAUGGAAAUAAGAGAAACGUUAUCAUGUAAAGAUGGGCAGUUUUUAACUUUCCAUAUAUUAAAAUAGUAGACAUCUAAAGCUUAAUACUAAUUAAGCAGCAUAUGUAAAUAAAUAAAUAAAUACAUCUAUGCAUAGACAGACACAUUAUGCAGAAAUUAAAUAGACAGACUAUUUUGAUCAUAUGAGAACUUAUAGUUAGUGCAUUUGAAAUUUUUAGAUCACAAAGAACUAUCAGCCGUUCAUGAUAACCUUGUGUGUUUUUUUUAUGGUGCAAUGAGAACCUUGUGUUACAUUAGGAAUUUGGAUCAAAUUCAGCUUGCUUGUUUACCAAACAAGCCAGAGCUAUGGUUGGUUUCCUUGAACUCAGCUCAAAUAAGCUCGGAAUACACAUAUAGUAUCCUACUGUCAUACAAUAAUAAAGAAAGCAUUUUUUACAUUAGAAUUGUUAAAAUAUUUAUAAUUUACAUGCAAACGAAUAUAACUCAACUAUAAUAUUGAAAUAUAAAGAUAGAAAUUAACUCAAAGUACAUAUAUGAAAGUCUUAGGCUCCUCAGGCUCUCACUAGUGUUCUUAAAUCAACUGUUAAUUAGCAGCUUGUGUUCAGCUGAGAGAGAGAUAAGCCUGGCUUGCCCAAGCUCGGUUCAUUUACACCUCUAAGCGCACACUUAGUUUCAGUUAAAACACUGAAAUAAACAGCCACAGCUUACCUAGAACCUCUUUGGCUGUAAGCCUUUGAGCAGGAUCCCUACAUAGCAUUCCAGCUAUCAAAUCCUUCGCAGAUUGGGAUACACCACCCCAUGGCUCAGAUGGGAACUGUAGCUCAGCAGAUCUAACCAACUCAAAAAUUCUCGACUUGGUCUUUCCCCCAAAGGGUGGCAUUCCACUGAGAAGAAUGUAAAGAAUAACCCCUGCACUCCAUACAUCAGCGGCUUCAUUGUAUCCCCCUGCAAGUACUUCCGGAGCUAUGUAAAAGGGACUUCCAACAGUCCCAUAUAAGCUCUGCCCUGUUCAGUUUAUUAACACAAAUUCAAAACAAACAACAAGAGAAUAUAGUGAAUUGAAUUAGAAGUAACUCUGACAAUUCAAAGAAUACCAGGUUUGAUAUAGGUGGCAAGCCCAAAAUCUGCCAGCUUGAUGGGUGAAGACGAUGACUUCGUGGCCAGCAGAAUGUUCUCUGGCUUGAGGUCCCUGUGGACAAUGCCUUUGUCAUGGCAAUACAUCACCACCUCCAUGAGAUGCCGGAACAGGAUGGCUGCCUCAUGCUCCGAGAAGCGGCCGUGUUUCUCGAGGCGGUGGAAGAGCUCCCCACCAGCACACAGCUCCAUGACAAGGUGAACGUAGUCUUCCUCCUCAUAGACAGCCUUGAGGGCGACGACAUUAGGGUGGCCAGAGAGCCGGGCCAUGACCUCGAUCUCGAGCUUGACGCUGCGGAGGUCAUCUGAGGAGACAAGUCGGUCUUUGGCUAUGGACUUGCAGGCAAGGGUCUGCCCCGUGAGCAUGUCAGAGCAUGCCCGGAUUACCCCAAACUGGCCCCAGCCCAAUUGUUCCCCUAAAACGUAUCUAUCUCCGAGGUUGGAAAUAUGCGGGGUUUCAAGGAUUGGAUCGACGAGGCCAGGGACCUUGUAAGAGUUGUAGAGUGGGCCAAUGCUGUUGCCUUGGGCAACAGCCAUGACAAAGAGCUCAGAGCUCUCUGCAAUCAGAUAUCCUCUUCUCACCAAAUCCAAUUGACUUCUUCUCGUCAAAAAGGAUAUAAAGGUUGCAUCUUUAAUGGAAACCCUCGAUCCGGGAUCAAAACCCUAAUGCGCCCAUCGCCCAGAAGCUGAAGAUCCGAGCGGGAAAGCAAGAAAAAUACAAACUUUAGUAAAGUAAAAAGGAAAAAAAAAUCAAACUUUAUCACAAAGUUUAACAUAAUGAUUCAAAUCGAAGAGCUCCACCAAACACCCAACAAGAGAUCACAUCAAUUUCAAAACCCUAACUGCUCAAAAUCAUCGAACAACUCCAGAUUACCACAUAAAAAAGCCAAAGAAAACCCUAAUCACCCCCAGUAAAAUGCACCAAACAAAAUUCCCACCGAUCGAAUCAAGAUAAAACUAAGAAAAAAAGCGGAAGCAUGGUGACCGCGUCAGAUCCGACAAAUCAUCUCAGGGAAAUGCGACAAAAAAUCAAAAAUUUGAAAAAAAAGGAAAAAAAGAGGGGACAAAAAGGCAUAAGAGGAAAGAGGGAGCUCACCUGGGGUGGAGAAAAAGGAGUAGAAGCUGAGACGAUCGGAGAGGAGCGCUCGGCACCGCCGCUUCGCCGCUGGCUCCAGCAAGAGACGAAUGGAUGCGUUGGCGUCGCCCCGGUUUUCCGGUGGUGGAAGGCUGGAAGCCCGCUUUUUAGCAUAAUAAUAAUAAUAAUAAUAAAAGAAUUGUGGAGAUCCGCUGUAUCUAUUACCCUUUUGUUCCUCGAACUGUGCUAUGUUUGUUUUCUAAUUGUAAAGGGCAAAGUCUCUAUGCCCUCAACGCAAGAAACCACCGUAUGAGCCAGCCAAUAGGACCGUGGGCCCAACGUGAAGUGCCACCACACCAAGCAAAGCUGUGCUCCUAUGAUCUCUAAGGUAUCUUGAAUUGCCUGCUUUAAGUCAAUUUGUUAUAAUCUAUAAAAAUAUAAUAAUUACUUCAUACUAAUAGAACCUUGGGAUUAUAUGGAUGAUUGUGAUUGUUUGUUGGUUUGCCAUUUGCCACUGAUUUUGUUAGUAUUGCAUGUUUCUGCAAAAUGAUAAUUUUUAGGUGAGAGGGACAAGAAGUGAGUUUUUGGAUAGUACAAUGUUGUGUUGCUCGACACAAUGAUUUAUAUUAAUUCACUAGCUUUUUUUUCCGAUUUAGCACCAAAUUUUUAUUUUUAACGGAGCAACCAUUGAAAACAAGUUAACACUGCAUAACCUAGGUCAUGGCACCGAUAAAUACUUAAAUUAUCCUACUCAGAAGCAGCUCAAUGAAUUUGGGGGCCUAAGGUGACCUUACUAAUAAGAGGCCUUGCAGGUUAUGCACGUAUUUUAUGAAGCUAAUGGGGCUGCAGACUGGAUGGCUGCUUAUAUAGUCAGUCACUCCAGUAGUACCCUGUGGGCUGGAGAUGGAGAGUUGCCCCUGACACUCCGAGGUAUUUUGUUUUUCGAUUUUAUUGGGUGUAUCCAUACACGUCAGGUAUGAUCCACCCGCCCUAGCACAAAAUAAUAAUCAUAAUAAUAAAUGCAUUUGGAAAUUAUUUGGAAGUCUCAAUACACUUAUAGCAGAGAGUCUUUUGGAGGCCUCAAUGUAUUUAUAGCUAAAAGUCUUUAGGCUUGGAGGCCUCAAUACUGCAUUUAUAGUUAAGAGUCUGACCUUAAUGCAUUUAUAGCUAAGAAUCUUUUUUGAGAGCCUCGAUGCAUUUAUAGCCAAGAGUCUUUAGGCUGGAGCCUUAGAUGACCAUCUCAGUCGCUUAAAGAUUGAAUUGGCCCUGAUCCUACUAAAGUUGAAGUCAAAAAGAGUACACCAAGAACUUUUUUAUUCUUUUCAUAAUGCAAAAUAACACAAAUCUAAAGCUAUCGAAGAUCAUGCUCCCAAAUUGCUAAUUAUGCUACAUCUUAAUGAUUAUAGUAUGAAAAAUUAUUAUGAGACCCUAGUUAAGUCAGCAUGCAUAAAUUUAUAAAUGAUCUCCAAAUUUGCCGACCACCUUCUAAAACUAGCCACCUAGCCUAUAAAAAAAAAAUCUAGUUCAUCAACUUCCUAGCCGACACAUCGAGAUCGAUCCUGGUGCAUUGUAUUAUAGCUGCAUCCUUAUGCAACGACUUAAACUAUUAAAAUAUUUUUUUAAAAAAAGUGGACUUGGGUACAGUUGAUCGGGUACGUUCUAGGUGCCGUUAGCAUGGAGGUCUGGUGUAUUUGAAAUGGGGGGCGGACGUGAAGCACCGGAUUAACUGGAAUAAAUAAAUACGGAAGCUUGCUUUCAGAAGUCCGGGGAGAAGUUCCGGCUAUUUGCUGUCCAGCAAGCAUCUGCCACGUGUCGAGGAACCUUUGUUCCCUCUUCCGUUAACCCGACAAAAAAAAAAUACUCCACCCGGAUCCGGUGUUCCGUCAUUCAUACCAGGAAUUUGCGUCAUGGUCUCCACUGACAGAAACGUAUCGCUUUGACAUGAGAAAUACACGUGUCGACGAAUGGAUGGAUUUUGAUGGCGUUGGUGUUUGCGCGCGAUAAGUAACCGCCGUUCAUUAGGAUGGAUUGGCGGCGUGCUUCUUGUUAUCGAAACGAUGCGGAGGUCAACGCCGGUGGGUUCUAGGAGCGGAGGGAACGUGUCCAGAGGUCAUGUGGGUUGACUUUUACGUUAAGGGUUGACUGUAGAUGAUUCCCCGCCCCAACAUGCGUUAGGUUUUUCUUCUGGCCACCAGAAUUCUUGCACUAAAUUUUAAACGCCACCAAUGGACUGAUUCCAAUUAUACUUUGGGGUCCGUAAUUUGAAGCAAUUCUAUAACUGUUGAAAUUUCUAGUUUUUCGGUCAAGAGAUGCGUGACGUGCGGGGAUUAAGAAGGAAAAGGUUAGGACAUGCUUGCAAGUAGUUCAAUUUUUUUUUACAGAAAAAAAUAAUAAAUAUUGUAAACCAUGAUUUAUUUUUGAGUUUCAGCUACUUCAAAGGAAUUAAGAAUGGAUAAGAUGCCCACAAAUGUGCAGCCAAAAGUAUAAAACAUGAUGGCAUAGCUCCAUAAACAAUAGAAAUCAGAAAAAAAAUUGAAUAAAUUCAUCAAAAUCUCAAAAACUAGAAAUAAGUGAAAAAUGAGAAUAAAAUAAUAACAAAACUAAAAAGUGAGCAUAGUUUUUUUAAUUAUUAUCUGGAAAAGUUUCUGGGGAGACACGAAUGGUAUGGGCUUCCUCUAGCAAGUUUCUGCUAGAGCUGAUCACAUGACGAAUUUCGGUAUAAAAAUAUCAAAUUUUAAAUAGGCCCAAUCCGAAGACUAACUAAAAAUGAAUAUAAUUUAGGCACAAGGCCUGGCUCAUAAUAGUAGCAUGAAUUCUGGUACCUUGAUAUUCAAAAACUUUUACCACAUGUUGGCAUCUUUUUGUCCUAUUUGGAUGAGCACCAAGGAACUCAGGUCCUAGAGAAUUUGUUUGGUUGGCCGAGAAAAAUGUCAGAUCUUCAACGACAACAAGAUUGGUUGGCACAAGCAUGCCACUGACGUUUGAUCAGUCAGAAAGAUGAUGAUAGGGAUCAAAGGGAGGAUAGAAUGUGGCAUGGUUCAAGUGAAUUGACCUUCAAUUAUUUUCACCACCGUUAUAUUGUCGUUGGAAGGUGGAUAAGGGAUGUAGCGUUAUGCUAUGAUAAGGGUGCAGUGCUAAGCCGAAAGGGCUAUGGUAAGGGUAUAGCGCUAGGUUAUGAUAGAUAACUAAGAUAUGCCUACUUCUAGAAUAAAAGGUAGAGUAAAACUAAAAUAAGAUAAAAAUAUGCAUUAAAUUGAUUGUUAAAAGAUCACUUAUAGAUAGUGCAAUUUUAUUAUUUAUACUAAAAAAAAUAACUGCCUACUCUGAUAAGUGCCAUCGACAUCUAGCCUCACUCCUGAUGGUUUCAAUAACCUUUGCCAAUUAUCCUCCAUUACGCACGUUGAAAGCAUGGUUGUCCUGUAUCAACUGUCAGACUGAUAAUCCUACCUUAUUGAUCUUAAUUUAUUAUGGAUCAUGUUGGCCGCUUCUUUUACUUUGGCCUAUGCUACAGUCUCUUGCACUUCUCUAAGAUUGGUUCAGUUACCUCGGUCUUCUACUGGCCAUCUUCAUAUGUUUUGCAGUAAAACAUGGCUAAGGCUCAAUUCUUUGGCCUACUUAUCUAUAUCACUGCUGAAUUCUCUUCCCCCAGUCUAUGCCUCCAUACAUGGUGGAACUUACCAUAACCAUAUCCUAUCAAGCCUGGCAAGAAUCAUAUGACUUCUAUUUGUUUUGACUUUAUCCAAAUUGGUCCACAUUGUUAUGGGCUUAACUCUUCGCUAGAUCAAACCUGUGCGGCACCCCAAUGUCACCUGCACAAAGAAGCCAGCCAACAUGUGCCAACGGUGGAAAACCGAAGCUGCAAGCAAGGCAAAAUAAACAAAAUGCAUAAAGAAAGGCAAGGCAACACACUCAGAUAUGGGACCAUGGAAAUAAAGCUUUCAUUAAUAAAAUGGAAGGAUUACAAGCCUAGGCAACUGCCGCACAGACUACAAUCACUAAGGAGGCAAGAGAGGCAACAAUGGACACCACAGGAAUCUGCAAGGGAAUUGGCCCACUGGAUUGUUCUUGCCCACCCUCCCAAUACUACCCGAGCGGGGCAUCCACCUAAAUCCCAACUAGAGGGUUCCAAAGUAUUGAGGAGCAUUGCAUUUUUUUGGCUCUUCACUAGCGGCGGUCGCUCAUGAUAUCUUGUUACAAUAUAUGUACAAGAUUGUGUCAGGAUCCAUGGACAUGCAGAAUUGCUGGAUAAAAUGGCCUUGAUAGACUCCCCACUUGAUUAGGUCGACAUCCUCGUUUAUGUGCUUUGCUUGUAUGCUUCGACCCGAUCUUCCUCAUAUCACAAUGAGUCCUAUGGUUCCUAGCUUGCUUUUGACUCAGGAAGUCCCUUGCACUGCACCAAAUACUCGAUCUCCUAUGCACCAUUGGGUAGAACUCAGACUCUAUCCACCAAGAUGUUGUUCCUAGCUUGGUGUGUUCCUUGUGGGAUCUACUGGGUCGACACGGUAUGGCUUGAUGCAGCUUUUGUGAAAUACUGGAUGUACCUUGAGCCAUGCUGGAAGUUGCACACAGUAGGAUACAUUUCCUACCCUUUCAAGAAUGGGGAAUGGACCCUCAUACUUGUGAACCAGUCCUUUAUGCACUUUGCAAAAGAACUGGGGCAAGGCCGGUUGGAGCUUGACCAGCACCAUGUCGCCCUUCUUGAAGUCCAAAGGUCCCUCCCCUUAUUAGCCCACUUCUUCAUCUUCUUGGCAGUCUUCUGACUCUUCUCUAGUUACACCCUUGCUAUCUUAGCAUUGCGAUGCCAUUCCUAGGCAAGAUGGCAUGCAGAUGGGCUGUUCCCCAUAUACCCCACAACCACUGGAUGUGAAGUGGAGGGUUGCUGCCUAGUGAUGAUCUCGAAGGGGCUCUAGCCCCAUGCAAAGAUUCACUGCAAGUUAUAGAAGAAUUGGGCUAUGUCGAGUAGCUUCACCCAAUCCCUUUAGUUGGCACUAACAAAGCGCCGCAAAUAUUGCUCAAGGAGAGCAUUUAUUCUUUCAGUUUGGCCAUCAGUUUGGGGGUGGAGACUAGUAGAGAAGUAUAGCUUGAAACCUAGAAGCUUAAAGAACCCGAUCCAAAAUUGGCCCAAGAACCUGGAAUCCUUGUCACUCACAAUGUUUUGAGGGAUGCCCCAAUACUUUACCACAUGCUUCAAGAAUAAUCGAGCUUCCUCCUUUGCAAAACAAUACAAGGGUGCUGGGAUAAAGGUGCCAUAUUUGGAGAAUUGAUCCACCACCACUAGGAUCGACCCAUACUCUCCCACUUUUGGCAGACUCAAGAUGAAUUCUAUAGAGACGCUCUCCUAUGGCCACAAGGGUUCAAGGAGGUCAUCAGGCUUAUUCUACUCCACCUUGUCCUAUUGGCAUAUGAGACACAUAUGGACAUAAUCUUUCACAUCCUUCCCCAUUUUAGGCCAAUAGUAUGGCCUCUCCAAGGGGGCAAGGGUUCGGUGCAUUCUUGGGUAGACAACCCAAAGGGUGUCAUGACAUUAUCUCAAGAGUUCUCUUAUAAGAUUAUCCAUCCGCAGAACAUACACUCAAUGCCCUUUUAUGAAAAUGAGUCUAUCCCCAGACCAAAACCAUCGUGCCUUUCCUUCUUCAAUGAGUUGUUUCAAGAUAAUGGUUAUAGGAUCUUUCAACAUCCCUUCUUAGAUCUUUAAUAGAAGGGUCGCUUGCACCUGGCUGACUCGACUUUGCUCUUUCAUCUUUAGAGCCAUGAGCUCAUCCUUGCGACUCAAGGCAUCGGCCACCUAAUUCAUAUACCCUGGCUUGUACUCCAGGGUCAUGUCAAACUCCACAAGGAAGUCCUAUUAGCGAGUUGCUUUGGAGAAAGCUUCUUCUGUGUUUGGAAGUAGCUGAGGGCCACAUUGUUUGUUCGGACAAUAAAUUGUGACCCAAAGAGAUAGUACCUCCAUAAUCUUUAAGCAAUGAAGCACCAUCGUUAUCUCCUUUUCAUGGAUAGUGUAUCGCCUCUCCGUAUCAUUCAGUUUUCAGCUCUCAAAAGCCACUAGAUAGCCCUCUUGAACUAGGACCCCUCCAAUAGCAAAGUCUGAUGCAUCGGUUUGGACUUCAAAUGACAAAUUAUGAUUUGGUAGCCACAAGAUAGGAACCUCCAUCAUUGCUGCUUUCAAGUCCUCAAAAGCUUACUCGCAUAUUGGGGACCAAUCCCAUAAUCGGUCUAAAGUAUCCUAUCUUAGCUCAGGUUGUAAGAGAUAUUUUGACAAUUCCAAUAUUUACAGUAGCAUCGAAUCAACAUUUAGCACCAUGUAUAAGUGGUUGAUGCAUUCGAAGUUCAUUAGAUCUUGAUAUUGUUAAAGCUGUGAUUUGUCUUCAACAUCGGCUAAGAUUAGAGAAAAAAGAUAAUGUUAUUGUAUUUUUAUUAAAUUUAUCUUAUUUAAAGUACUUUAUUAGUUAUUCUUUUAUUUUAUUUUAGGCCCUAUUGCAUCAGUUGUUCACAAUCUUAAUUCUUCUCUAGUAUUGAAUAGCUAUUCUAUUUAUUUUGAAAACUCAAAUAAAUCAACAUCAAUUCACAUAUUACCAUGAAUAUAACAUGGAAUUUCAAAAAAUUAUUUUGUUGUUUUUGUUUAUAUAUGUGCAAACUUUUAUACUCAUAUCAUCAUUUGUAUUGCAGGGUAAUUGGAGCAUUGGAGAUUGUUGUAUGAUUUUGUCCUAUUAAAUUGAAAUAUUCUACUUAAUAAUUUAUGAAACUUUUUAAAGACAUUUAUGUUUAUGGGGAUGUAAAGUUUAUCUUUGGAUGAGAUUAACUAUGGUCGAUGAUGAUUGUGUUUUGAUACUAUUUAUACAUUUAAACUUUUGUUCUUUUAUCAUUUAUCUUAUUAGAAUUAUACUACUUAUUUGGAUCAUUUAUUAUUGUGGAUUUUAUUGGAUUUUAUGGAUCUAAAAUUAUAUUAUGGUUCUCCUUGCAAUAAUUGUGUGGUUAUGAUGGAUUCAUAAUAUAGAAUCUCUAGUGAGGAAGUAAGUAUAUAUUUAUUAUUUUUUGGAAUGAUUAUUGUUUAGAAAUAUUCAUGCUAUCUUAAUUGACUUUCUUAUUUUAUUAUAUUUGUAUUUAAGUACUUUUAUUACUAAUAUGGAUGAGUGUGUAUUCAUGUCAAUUAGGGAGAGUAUUGGUUUAUUAUUUGGAUUCUCAAUAUAAGGCACAUAUUAUCUUUUCUCUGAAUAUUUUCGAGUUUUAUGAUAUACUUUUUGCAUUCAAUUUAGUUUUAGAUUAUAAUUAUCGUCUCUCACAUAUAAUAUUUUUUUUGAAAUUGUAAUUUUUUUAUUAAUUUACCCUUUAUGAAUAUAUCAUUAUAGUUUUUGUUUUUGAAUUUUUGCUUUAAAUAAAGUUUAGCUUCUUGUUUUCAAUGAAUGCUUGUUGAAAUUAUAAUUUUUUAUUUAAUAUAUUCAUUAUGAUUAAGUCAUUACUGGUAGCUUUUAUUAUUGAAUUCUUCGUUUUAAUGAAAUUUAUCGAUUUUGAUUAUGGCUUCUUGCUCCAAUUAAUGCUUGUUAAAAUUGUAAUAUUUUAAUUGAAUCUAUCCUUUAUGAUCAUAUCAUUAUUAUUAGUUUUCAUCAUUAAUGUUAACCAAAAUUAGAUUAAUAUCCAAAUUAAUAUUUAAUUUAUAUCCACACCCAGAUAAAAAAUAGAUGUGCUUGACAUCGAAUUUUUAUCCAUAUCCAUUUGUAAUAAAUGUAAAUAUGCUUAAUAUCCGAUUCGCAUCCAUAUUUAUUUAGAAAAAAAUAUGGAUAUUAAUUUUGAUUUCUAUUUAAUAUAUAUAUAUAUAUAUAUAUAUUUAUAUUCAUAUUCAUUGAAAAAUAUUAAUGUAAAUAUAAAUAUAUCAAUAUCUGAUCCGUAUCUAAUUUAUUUUUAACCGACUCUAAGGUAGCAUCUUUAUCCGAUCAGAUCACUCAACUCCUUCAUUGCAGCAGUCCACCAAUUCAUAUCCAACUAGUAGUCAAACCCUCAUCUAUAGUCACAAAUUGGCCAUUCAAAAUAUAAUUUUUAAGCAAUUCAAUGGUAACUCAGAAACGUCACUCAGGUGCCUUGCACCAAUCAUGUUGCUCUAUUUAAUGGCAUAUUUCACAAUGCCAUUCAAAGGAGGCAAAGACAAUACCCUACACAAUGACUUAUUUGAGUUUAGCAUUUUCAAUAAUAAGUUGUAGCCCCACUUCUCUCAACUUCUUCAAUUCAGAUCUUUCGGAGAAAAACUGUUUCUUUCAAGUGAAACAAGGAGAUAGUUUUGACAUUCACUGCAGGUAGCUCGAUUUUUUCAGCUCUUACAACAAUAGGGACAACCAUCCUUUAGGCUAUCAAGACCAAAAAGUAUAACCAUCCAAACUUGUCCCAACUAUUUGGUGUAAGAUCUUCAUUCUUCCUGUUUAGAGCCACCACUAAUGUUAUUCAAGCUUUAAGAUUUUAAGAUCACGGCUUCACCAGCUCACAAAGUAUACCAAUUUUCCCAUCCUGAUCACGUCAAAGAAGCACACAGAGAACAUGCCCAGGAACUAGGCUCAUGAAAGCAUGUUAGGAACAAGAUUACAGAGAAGCUGAGCGUCAAUCGACUUUCCCAAGCUACUCUCAGAGCGAGUUGAAAGCUUCAAAGAGGGAUAAAUAUGAUGGAAGUAUUUAAUGACCACAUAAAAGUGCUUGGUCUCUUAUAAAUCUCAUCAUAGAGUGCAUUUUCCUUUUGAGAGAGGUCAUAGAGUGCAAAUCAAUUUAUGAAAUAAGUAUCAGAUCUCAUAUCUUUUAACAUUAUAAGCAGUUGAGACAUAGUUUUGGCCAUUAAUUUUACGAGACGGAUUGUGCUCUACAACAAGAAAAGAAAAAUGAAGAUAUGUGUAAAAUAUCGACAACUAUAAUCUGAUCACAAAGAAUUUAAUAAUUCUCAAGAGGGAGAAGAGAAGGAUAACUUCCACCUGACAACUAAAAGAACUGAUGGCUAAGUCUGGAAAUGGCUGAUAGCAUAAGAUGAAUUUCCAAAUAGGAGAGUUUCGAAAAAAAAUGCACAUGCUACUAUAACAAACCAGAGGCAAACAAAAUGGAUUGUUAAGUAAAGCAGUAAAGAGACAGAAUAUUAAAUACAAGAAAAUGUCAUUAGAACACCAUAAAGAAACUCUUAGUUAAACAUACAGACAAGGCUCACUUUUAUUUACCAUAUGAUGGCAUGGAAGCUAGUAUUCCAUACAAGUACCUAAGACACAGACCCAAAUGAUGCAGACUAACCCCCCAUAUUACUCAUCUUAUGACAUCAAACCAUGCUCUCAUAUUACUACUUAAGUGAUAGACCCGGACGCCACACUCAUUGCUGAUGUCUUGACAGCUACAGAUUAAACAUCACCUUGAUUGCAUCAUGACCACGAGCACUGACCUCAAAAGCUUUCUCCACCUCCUCCUGAGAGAAUCCAAACCUGUGAGUUAUCAAAGGUCUCACAUCGACCUUUCCACUACUCAGGAACUCAAUACAUAAUGGCCAAGUGUCCUUGUAGCGGAAGACACCAAUGACAUCAACCUCUCUGGAACGAAAGAAAAUGGAAGAAAUAUAAGCAAUCACCACAUCAAGUCAAUGAGAGAUGGAAUCCGAUUUCUCCAGACGAGAAGCAAUUGAAUAUUGGUGGAGAUGAUAAUACCUUGCUGCAGCAGGAGUAAGGGGGACAGUCAGCUCAUUUUCGCCCAUUCCAACGAGGCAAACUUUCCCACCAGCACAAGUAGCAUUAAGAGCAGUUGACAUUGUUUUGCUAAAACCAGCACAAUCAAACGUCGCAUGAAUGUCAGCACCCAUAGCCUUCUGUAUUUGAAUAACCUCCUCAUCAAGAUCCUAUAAAACAAUAUUACAUUAGAUAUCCCUGAAAUGAAAACAAAUUUUAACAAGGAGUUAUGAAAAAAUAACUGGUCCAAAUGAAACAACUAUUGAAUUAAGACUUUGUGAUUUUCAUAAUUUAGUAAUAAAUAAUUGUUGUCAACUGUUGACUGAUUUGUGGACUGUUAGCUUUAUUUUUCAGGGUACAAACUUUUCAUGUUUUUGAGCAACAUUGUGAGAUAAUUUCUGUGAAGAAUUUUAUUCAGGUGAACCCAUCCAAUGCAUGCGUUAUCAGCAGUCCUUUCCAUCCAGUAUUGAAGAGAAUAGAUGGACACUCUUAUUAUGAGACAACUUCAAGUUCCAUCCUUCCAUUAGGGAACAUCUUCUACUGAUAACAUAUUUAUCAACUGGCCUGAGUAUCCUGCUGUUUGAUUGUCUGUGCGCUUUUCCUUUGAAUGAAACACUGAAUCCUCUGUAGGAUGUAUCACGAUUCAAUAUAAUUGUCUCCCCUUUUCUGUAUAAUGUGGAAACUCUUGCAUAAACCCUUUCUUGACUACACUUCCACAUACUCCUAUAAAGAUGGCAAUAUCUAAAGAUUCUAAACAUAUUAUAACAAUGUUCUUUCUUCAAAUGAUAUGUCCAUUGAAAAAAAUGCAUAAACUUGCACCAAGGCUUUGAAUUUUCAGGUAUCACCGUGUCCUUUCACCCACGUAAACCUUCAUGCUGAUGUGCUGCUUGUAAAUUGAACUGCACCUCUAUGUAUCAGAGGACCUAUGUCCCUACUUCCUAGCAUCCCCACUAACCACAAAACCCAUAUAUUGGCCAAAGAAACCAAUUGCACGUCAGAAAUUAGGUAUAUCAAAGCAUGAAGUAUGCUAGCAUAUGUAACUAAGUAGAGUUCAUAGGUCUUGAAAUGUAAAAUAAUAAUGGCAAUACUUCCACCAAGGACAAGUUCAUUCAUCAGUAGGAACUCAGAAAUUUUUGUUCUUAAACCUUACUAUCUAAUCCUAACACCGAACCAAACCGAUGCCUGGACUGCUGGGCCAUGUGGGUCGAUUCGAGCUAUAAAAUCAAUCCACUGCCUCCUCAGUUCGAACGAAGCCCUCUCAAAGCUUCGUCUGCUCUCUCAACUCUCUCGCUUGCUCUCUCCACUCUCUUUCCCACCCUCUUCGCUCUCUCCGCACUCUCUGCUUCUACAUCCGCGUUGCUAGGGCAAACUAUUCAAACCUAGGCUCGACUUGACCGGUUCACCGAUGACUUUCCCAUCCCUCUUCCCUUUGCUCUCCACCAAGGGUUCUCUCUCUACUCCUAGAGCAAGAAAGGACAUCCCGGGAGAUCUGCGAGGAGACAAGAGGCCUCAAAGGUAACUCCAUCUCAUUCUCUCCCCCCUCUCUGUCCCUCCUCUCCUUCUUCCUCUCCCUACCUCUUCCUCUACCUCUCUCUCUACCUAUUCCUCCCUCUCCCUUUCCCCCUUCCUCUCUCCAUUUUGGUAUGCUCCAGCAAGGUACAGGACAUAUCCAUGUUGUACCGUAUUGGUAGCUGGCCAGUAUGAGUCAUGGUACCGAUGCGGCAAACCUUACAAAUCCCUAAUAUCAAUAUAUCACUGGUGAAAUUUUUGUUCAUAAAUAUUGCUUUCUAAUUCCUAAGAACUGUACAUUUGGCACCAGUUAUGUAAAGCUUUGCAUAUCCUCACUAUGGCAGCCAAACUUAAAAUGAGAGAGAGAUAUAUAAUCUUUGAAACUAAUUAAUUGAUAAGCCCAGGUUAUAAUUCAUUAUCAAGGACCAAAAAUUUAAAAAGCCAUGCUUGUGAAAAAGCCUAGAGUUAUUGAAAAACAUUUCCUUCCUUUGUCCAAGAGCUCAAAUAAUUAGUAACUUAAUAAUUUAGGUUGCAUUUGGUGUUACUUUCACUUCUCCUAUUUCUAAAAGUAACAAUCGAUUUUUCUACUUCAGUUUAAAAUUCUUAAAAAAGCAUAAACAUUCUGGUUUAAUCAACUUUUUUUACUUUUGUAAGCAUACGAAAAAUCAAAAACUAACCCCUCUUCCAUCCUUUGGCAAUGGCAAUGGCAAUGGGAUGGAUAGCAGUGAUUGUGGCAGCAACAAUGAAGGAGGCAGCUGUAUCAUUGGUGGAGGUGAUCACAGUAGUGGUGGUGGAGACAGCAGCAACAAUGGUGGACGUGGCAAUGGCAAUGUCAAUAGAGGUGGUGGCAAUCUAGCAAUAAUGGAGAAAGUAGCAGCAGCAGCAUCGGCAGCGGCAGAGGUGGUAGUAGUAGCGUGACGGUGGAGAUGGUGAUGGUGGUGAAAGGAGUAGCAGCAGCAGCAGUGGUAGACAUGCGGGCGGUAUGCGAUCAUGGAGGGGCGACAAUGGCAGAGGAGAUGGUGACACUUACUGGUGGAGGUGACCAUGGUAGCUGUGUGGUGGUGGCUAUGGCAGCUGGUCGAAAGGAUAUCAAGGAGAGGGGUCACCACUUGUUAAACUUUAGUUCUCUAUUUUUAUAAAAAGUGGAAAGCAAUAUUUUCUUUCUUUCACUUUUUUCAGAAAUUAUGAGAAACAAGAGAACAAGGGAGUGCCGCAUAGGCCCUUAGUUUCAUAAGCGGAAGGCCCAAGUACCAUGCGAUCUUUUAACCUGAAAAAUUAAACCUGUGCUUAUUACAACUUCACUUUUGGCUUCCUAGGAUGAGAAACAAUCUAAAUUCUGUUUCAUCUACAGUGUAUUUGUCGUCUAAAGUCAAAGCAAUCUUCCAUUGGAUCUUUAUAAAAUUAACUUAUACCUAAGAGCCUUUACUGUACAAUAGAAUACAGAUGCUAUUGAGAAAUUAAAAAAAAAAAAGAUAAAGAGGACUAGGAAUUAAAAAAAGUGUUAAGAGAUAAUUGAAGUGAAAGAAAAUAUCAAAUAAGUUCAUGUAAAAUUUAUAAUUAAAAGAACAUAUUAUAUGCUAAAAUCAUUUCAAAGUGGGUAACAGAAGAAAAACAUCCUUAUUUAGAGGUGAGUUUUAUGGCAAGAUAUACCACACUUAACAAGGAAAUGUAAAAGGAAGAGAAAAUAGGUGGUAAAACCUCCAUGUUUUUAGAAACUUUAACAGUAUCAUCUGCUCCAAGAGUCUUUGCAACUGAUAGACGACUAUCAUCAGCAUCGGUUAUAACUAUUUUUGAAGCACCAAAAGCACGAGCUGCAAGCAUUGUGACUAGGCCUAUUGGUCCAGCUCCCACAAUUAGCACAUUUGUCUCCGGACCAACAAAAGCACGGCGACACGCAUAGACUCCAACACUGAGGGGCUCGCACAUUGCCCCUUCCUCCAAGCUUACAUUGUCUGGAAGCUUAAAACAGAGAUCAGCAGGAUGCACGAUCUGCCAAGAAAAGAGAUAGAUCAUUAGCAACAAGCAAGAAGUUCUUUUGGCCUGAAUCUCAAUAAGUUUUCCAGCAACUCUGAUGGAACAAAUAUUAAGUGAUGAAAUGCAUGAUUCUCACAUGAAGGAACAGCUAGACUUUGAGACUCUUAGAGGAGAACAUUAGAGCUUCAAAUUCAUAGAAUAUAAAUAACUAAGAGGCUCUGAAAUUGGGAGACUAGAGUUGAGACUGCCACUCCGCACUACAACUGUGCAUUAUUCUACCUAUAGAUGAAAGGUAGUAAGUAUCAAAAUAUGGUUCCACUGAAAAUGCUCUUUUUUUUACAUUGCUUCCUUUUGGAUGUGUAGCAUAAAAUCAAAAAUUUGAUUAAAUGGAUCGAGUAAAACUUCAAGAUGGAUCUUAAGGUUAAUUGGAGCUAAUUGUAUGCAGUAAUUAAAGCACCGAUUAUAUUAUUAUAGCAGCCAACAAUAGGGUAAAGAAUUGUAAAAUUCUAAAAAAUUUGAUACCUGAUUAGCCAAGGAACCAUGAACAGGAGGUGUGGCAAAGAACUUCAUAUCCGGGCACAGGUUGUACCGGCCACCUUUGCAGUGCUUACAGUGUCCACAGCUGAUCCCCGGUUCUAUGGCCACGCGGUCACCCACAGCGAGGGAAGUCACUUCGCUGCCCACCUCUUCAAUAACCCCAGCACAUUCAUGCCCAAUUACCAUAGGCUCUUUGACAACAUAUUGGGCACAGCUCAUGGUCUGCAGUAUCAAGUAACAUCAACAAUGUGUUAACUUUUCUUUCCUAAAAUAGCAAUAUGUGUUCACAACUGGGUCCAUAUGUAAAAUUCAAGCAAUCAAUAGAUUAAUGGGUAAAAACGACUAACAAUCGAAGAAUUUAAGCUUCUAAUUAGACUUCUUUUCCUGAAGAAAACAUUGGUAAGAUGCUUUUUCCUCAGCAAAAUUUAAAGAGGGAUGGUCAUAGUAGCAUAAGUAAAUUCAGGAUAUGAAAAGAUGAACCUUGAGGUAAUGAACAUCACUUCCGCAGAUACCCACGGCUUUCAUGCGCACCCGAACAUCGCGAGGGCCUGAAAAUAGUCGAUUUUGUUGGCAAAGAAAAUCAAAACAUAAGAAAGGAAAGACAGGAAUCUCUAGAAUGACCCACUAUAAGAUGAUCAAUUAAAACUUCACAUGUUUUGAUCUAUAAAACACAAUAAUCCAUGAUCCCCACCAUCAUCAUAUUUAAACUCCACCAGUUCAUCCACAAAUUUUAAAAGGAAAACAAUCAUAACCAAUUUUGUCUGCGCAAAAGAUCAAGAUCAAAGCAUAGGAAAGAAAAGAAAGAGUGAUCACUGGAAUGAUCCAUUAAAACAUGAUCAAUUAAAAGUUGACAUGCUUUGUCAACUUUUCACAGAGGAUUUAGAAAGCACAAUAAGCCAUGAUCAUCACUAUCAUCAUCAUGUUUAAACUCCACCAGUUUAUCCACAAAAUCUUAAAAAAGGGUAAAUACAGGGAAAAAAUAAUUCUAGACCAAUUGAUUGGAAACAUAUACAUAACAUAGGAAAACCAGAAAAAGAACACAGAUCAAUCAAACCCACCACAGAAAAACUACACGUAAGCAUAACAUGCCCUAUAUCACAUCAAAGAAACAUAUAACUAUUAUCAACUUAUACUGAAUGAAAUGGGAAAAGAAGUAAAGUGGAAGAAUAAAAGAAAGAGGGGAUAGAUACCAAGAGGUGGGAGCUGGUAAGGCUGGAUCUUGAGGGAGUUAACAGCCACCAGCCAGGCUGCCAUGUUCUCCCCAUUCCCAUCUCCACCUCCUUCACCACCUUUCCCCAUCUCCCUCUCCUUUCUCUCCCCCUGACACACUCUUCUUGAGUUUUUCUGCCCAGUGAGCCUCUCCUGGGGGUGUGAGGCGAGCUUUAUAAGCCAAAGAAAGAAAAAGACAAGGGGUGAUUCACCUCUGCUGGUUUUCAGAAAGGGGACGGCGGAGUAAAAACCACUGUGAGAGUUUAUCCCUUCCUGCUGAAGAUCUUAAGCCUCGUGGAAUCCAUUUGUGACAGACCCACUCAUUCCAUGAAACGUGUGCAACAAAGAAAUUUCAGGCCCUGAAUGGGUUCUGAUGGUUGGAUUUGUGUUUUGAGCUUGAUAGAGGAUCCUGGUCACCGUACGUUACUAAAUUUAUUCGCUAGGUUUCUCCCGUUUGGAUUGUGUGCUGCGUGGCAUCUAAAAAUUCAGGGGGCGCUUAAACUACUUCGCUGGAGGGACCCUUUUUUUUGUUUCCGUUCCCGGUUUCUGCUGGGCUUGUAUUCUUCUCCGGGGCCCAAAACUGCCACGUAUCAUGCCAUGUGAGAUGAGACUGUGGGUCCAGUUCACGGGGCUGGUGCGAUCCUUGGCCGGUCAUUGAUGUGGAGGACCAGUUAAAUAAGAGUUUUUUUUCACAAAUACGCUCCUCAAUAUUGAAUUUUAUAGAAAUACACUUCCAAAAUUAAUAUAUAUAUAUAUAUCCUCAUAAAAUACUUAUUUUAUUAUUUUACUUUUUUUAUUUUUGUUUUUGCAUAUAUAUACCUACGUCAUCUAAUGCCGUUAAAAAAUUAGCGGUUUCAAAUUAAAAUAACUAAAAUACUCUUAAUGAAUGGAUGUGCAAAAAACAAUAUUUAUAAAACGAUCAAGAUGAAAGAUAAAAAAUAAUUUCAAAAUUUUAUUUUUUUAAUUAAAGUAAAUAUAGUUUUUAUUCACGGUGUUAGAAGAAUUGUUAUAUUAGGAGUAUUUGUGUAAAAAUAGUGUUUUAUGAGGUAUAGAAAUAAAUAUAAGUUUUAAAACAGUAUUCACGCAAAAUUAAAUUUUUAGAAGGAUAUUCAAGAAAAAAACUUGUUAAAUAACUAUCCAGUAGGAAUUUUUUAUGGCGUAAUUAGGUAGAGUAGUAUCUGUCUCUUAGAUUAGAUGUGUACAAAGUUUUUUCUUUUUUCUCAUUUACAUGUAUAUAACUUUUGCAGAUAUCGCUGUUGUUAUAUGUGUUUUGGAUUGUUAUAAGAAGUAAUUGCGGUGUUGAUCAUAAUUUUAGAAUAAUUUAGAUAGAGACACCAUCUUGCCACUUGCUCAUCUUUUAUAUUCUGAUGCUAAUGGAUGUUUGUAUUCUUGUAUGACGUAAUUUAUUCCAUUUUUCAAAAGAAAAGAUGAAAUUCCAGAUCGGUACGUUUUAGUGCAACAUUUGAUCAGGUCUCCUAUGAUUGCACAACUAAAAGAGGAAAUGAAAGAAAACUAUGAACGCCUAAACACGUCUUGCAUGCGCUCACAGGACAGAAAACCUGCAAACAAAGAAACAGUGGGUCUUUCAAAAGAGUAAAGGGAAAAGGAAACUUGAAAGAAAAAGUAUGUCGACUUUUAAAAAAAGUCCCACUGAUUUACAAGUCUAUCAAUAAUUUUUUAAUAAACUAUCGGUUGGAUACAUUGAGCUUAACAAAUAUAAAUACAAAUUUUUAAUUAUAUUACAUAUAAAUUAUGAAAUUUGAUACUAUUUUGAAUAAAAAUAAUAUUGUAUAAACUGAUUGGCUAUGAAAGAAAGAUUUAAAUGAAAAUAAUAUCAUUUUGGGAAAGAAGGUUUUAAAUUGAAUAAUUGUAAUGAUUAAAAAUUUAAAAUGCUUUGUUAACUUGGUUAGCUGAAUUUUUAUUUUAACUGAAUUUUGAUGGAGGAGAGAUUGAUAAUGUUAAAAAAUAUUUUUAAGAAUAUUUUUAUCUAAAAGGAUGACAGAUGAAAUCUAAAGAGGAAUAUAGCAUGCAUGUACACUGCAAGCAAAAUGAACCCAAUGAUCAUUAAGAAAUAUUUAGAAUGAAGAGUCUUAUCCUAUCCUUAUUAACAAGAUGGUACUAUAACCAUCCAUCACAUAGUAUUUGUCAUCAAAUAUUGUGUGCACUCGCAUGUUAAAAUCUACUCUACAUCCAUAUAUAAAGCAAUGAUAUUAGAUUGUUCCUCCUUCCAACUUGUGAGUUCAACUAUUUCAAAAAGGAUCACCUCAAAAAAAAUAUUUAGGAAAGGAAAAAUAAUAUAAAGGACUCUAAGAGGGAAGGCCAAAAUAGUCAAUGAUAGAUCUAAUCUUUUUAAGCAAAUAAAACUAUGAAGAAUUUAGCCAUAUUCAUCAUAUUAAGGAAACCUAACUAUAGUUUUUUUUUAUGUCAAAAAACCAAUAACAGUGAUAUACCUCGGAACUGAUCAUAACUGAUACGAAGAGCUGAUCAACCAAAGCUCACCACGAAGCCUGUAAAUUACUGAUUAGAACUUGCUAUAUGACACGCUUAGAAGCUUGCAGCUAAAUUCAAAUUUCAAAAACUCCUCACAACUAGCCACAUUUUGGCCAGAAUCUCAAACGACCUUGAAAAUUACUCUAGCCAAAUAGGCAGGGUGUGAUCUGCGUGCGAAACACCCGUGCCUGAUUCUCAAAACAUGUAGAAGUCUGUCAAUUUUGGCCGACCUACAUUUCCAAAUUCUAGGACGACAAGAUCUCCCUACGCUUGUACAAUCCAUUCUCCAGAGGACCUUUCAUGUAAGUGCUCAGUUGCUCUGACAAACCACCGAGAACCUCAUCUAUUUUUUGAUUAUCAUCUUAACUUAGGCAUCAGAGGAUCUCCUGUCAGACAUACUCUAGCAAGAUGAAUUCUUCAUCUUUCUUGUUUCAGGUGGGAGCGUGACCAUGGACUAGGACAUUGGCUACAACCAUCCACCCUGAGUUGCAGCCCUGCACGACUCAAGCAACCGAUCUCUAUUCCACCAGCAUCCAACACCUCUCCCGCUCAGCAUCUAGGGCAGGUAGGCCCUCAACGGCAAUAGAUUGUUGCUAGAAGGAGGGCCUAAACCUUCGAUCUUGUCGAAAAUAAGGACACAUUCCACUUUCUUUUUUUGUCGGAUCUAGGUGCCUUUGGCAAUGAUCUCACCAGUCGGAUGCAUCCCACUAUGACAACCGAUGAAGAUGCUCUCGAGCAUAAUAGGUCAAGUGAAACAUUAAACAGCCCCAAGGAGGCAACACUUUCGUUCAUCGAUCAAACUACUCAACAACCCCAACUUGCAAGCCUUUGUAGCAAGGAAGAUUUCGAGGAAGCUUCCACCAGGGCCUACACCCACAUUUUAUUGCCCCUUGUACCGAAGGCUUGACGAGCUAACCGACCUCCAUAGGUCGGGACAACCUAAGCAGAGGUUUCGACCCUCGUGUUGAAGGCUUGACGAACUAACUGACCUCCAUAGGUCGGGAUAGCCUACACAAAGGUUCUGGCUCUCGUGCCAAAGGCUUAAUGAGCUAAUCAACCUCCACACAUUGGACAACCCAAGCAGAGAUUUCAACCCUCAUACCAAAGGGUUGACGAGCUAACCGACUUCCAUAGGUCAGGAUAGUCUAAAUAGCUGACCCUCGUAUUGAAGGCUUGACGAGCUAACCGACCCCUAUAGGUUGAGACACCCCAAACAGCUAGCCCUCGAAACAAAGGCUUGAUGAGUUAACCAACCCCUACAAGUUGGGACAACCAAAGCAAAGGUUCUAGCCGUCGUGCCAAAGGCUUGACAAGCUAACCAACCCCUAUAGGUCGGAACAUCCUAAGUGGAGGUUCUAGCCCUCAUGUCGAAGCCUUGACGAGCUAACCGGCCCCUACAAGUUGGGAUAGCCCAAGCUAAGGUUCCGGCCAUCGUAUCGAAGACUUAAUGAACUAACCAACCUUUUUAGGUUAGGAUGGCCCAAGUGGAGAGAUACUGUCCUCCUAGCCGAGGACUUGGCUAGCAAACCUUUUUAGAUCAGGAUGACCCGAAAGAUCCAAGCUCUCCACCUCAGCCAAGCAAAGCUAAAAAUAAGGGUCAAGCAUCUAGUAGGCUGAUCGAUCCAGCAAAUUGAUCUCUCCAGCAGGAUGACCUAUAAUAGGAUGAAGAGCUGACAUUCAUAGCUCUCAGUACAAAAAGGCCGACUCUAGCAGCUUUCAAAAUAAAAAAAGUGUUCAAUGACCAGCCGAAGUUUUCGCACUUGAUCGUACUCUCAACCAGUGAUUUUAAAAUAUGGGUGAGGCAAGAUGAGCUCGAACUUCUCUAUAGUUGGCUAGCUUGACUACUUCUUUCACCUGAGCCGGAAAGAAUAACUUGUACUCAAAAGUGGGGGGCAAGUGAUGUGGUCUAAAUCUGAUCCGCCCAUCACAGGUCGACAUGUGGUGAGAAUUUUGAAAAAAAUUAAUUUUUUUAAAAAUUGAAUUCUUGGUGGGGUCCAAAUAAGAAAGAAGAUUACAAUAGAUUUGAAUCCAAAUAAGAUACAAUAAUCUCUUAAUUUUUUCCUCCAAAUUAUAACGGAUCUAUACUCCCUCAUCUAUAUAAAUAAGGCCAAAGGACUCCAAAAAGAGGAGAGAAAGGAGAGAGAGAGAGGAGCAUCCAGAGGCUCCUAAGCAUAGACUACGAGAAGUUUCUAAGGAGAGACUCUUAAGCUCUCGUAGUGAUAAGCUCUUAUAGCGAGAAGCUCUUGUAGCUACCUCUACGUCCGACUCCUCUUUCAUGGCCAUCCAAGCAUGGUAUCUCCUCUCUAAACGGCAUGUGCAUCCUUAGAGAUCGAGAUACACAUCUCUGGAGUCUGCACUUUGGUGUCAGCCGAGAUCCAAGCACUGUGCAUACAGGACCUAUGUCCUUAGAGACUAGGAUGCCAGUCUCUAGAGGCUGCCCUUCCAUGCUAACCGAGAUCUGAGUAUCGUGCAUAUGGGACCUGCAUCCUUUGAGACCAGGAUGUGAGUUCCUGGAACCGCCCUUUCAUGCCAGCCAAGAUCUGAGCACCGUGAAAAUGAGACUUGCAUCCUUGGACACCAAGAUGCAUGUUCGUGGAGGCCAUCCUUUCGUGUUAGUCGAGAUUCGAGCAAUGAGCAUACGGGACCUGCUUCCUUGGAGACUAAGAUGCGAGUCCCUGAAGGUUUUCCUUCCGUGUCACCAAGAUUCGAGAUGUAUUCAUACAGGACUUACAUCCUUGGAGACUAGAAUACGAGUCCUUGGAGGUUGCCCUUCUAUGCUAACCGAGAUUCGAGCACUGUGCGUACAAGACUCACAUCCUUGGAGACCAGGAUGCAAGUUUCUGGAGGCCGACUUUCUGUGCCAGCUGAGAUCUGAGUGCCGUGCAUACAGGACCCUCAUCAUUGGAGAUCGGGAUGCGAAUCCCUAGAGGUUGCCCCUCUAAGCCAGCCAAGACUCAAGCGUCGUGCGUACGGGACCCACGUCCUCAAAAUCCAAGAUGGGAGUCCCUAGAGAUUGGGACACGCGUCUGCCAACCAAAGUCGUGCCAAGCUCCUAGUCUGUACUCCUAGUUCAUGCAUCCUCGGAGACCAAGAUGCAAGUCCUUGGAGACCGAGACACGCAUCUGCUGAUUAGAGCCAUGCAGAGCUUCGAGUCUAUGAUCCUAGUCCAUGCAUUCUUGGAGACCAGGAUGCAAGUCCCUGAAGACCAGGACACGUAACCAUUGACCAAAGCGAUGCCGUGGUCCUAGUCUAUGCUCCUAGUCCAUGCAUUCUUGGAUAUUAGGAUGUGAAUCCCCAGAGACUAGGAUGUGUGACGAUUAGAGCCAUUCCAAGCUCCUAUUCUAUGCUCUCAGCCCAUGCAUCCUCGAAUACCAAGACGCGAGUCCUUGGAGACUGGGAUGCGCGUCUGCUGACCAAAGCCAUGCCCGAGCUCCCAAUUUGCUCUCCAAGUCUGCACAUCCUCAGAGACCACGAUGUGAGUUCUUGGAGACCGAGACGCUCAUCUGUUGGCCAGAGCCAUGCUGAGUUUCUAGUCUACGCUCCCAAUCUGCACAUCCUCGGUGUUAAAAUAUUUACACAAGAAGAGGAAAACAAAAAAAGAGAGAGAAAAGAGUAAUUUUAUUUUUCUACUCAAGUUCAUUCGGUACAUCUCAAAGGUCAUAUAUACUCAUGUACAGACUCUAUAUAGAAAAAUAAUAUAGGUUGAUAUAGGAUUAUGCCAACAAUGAAAAAUAUUACUUGCUGAUACGAUUUGUUAUGUGAUCCCUAAAAUCACUCUAACAAGAUGAUGCUAACAAAAAAAAAUAAUAUUAACCGAUACAGGAUCAUGCUAGCAAUAGAAAAUAUUAUGGGUUGAUACAGGUAGUUAUAUAAUUCCUAAAAUUAUGCUAACAUCUUUCCUCAAACUCAAGAUGGUACUAUAUGUGCUAAUUUGAGUUUGGAAACUAGAUCACGAAUGUACCUAAAAAUUGAUGUACUAGACCAAAUAUUGAAGUAGCAGCUUAGAAGCUGACGUGAUAAUUUAGGAGCUGACAUAGCAGCUCAUAGACUGACGCAAUGGUAGAUUAAGAGCUGACAUGGCAGCAUAUAGCUUAAUGUGACAGAACACGAGCUAUUAUAGCAGCUCAAAAGCUGAUGUAGCAGAUUAAAAAGUUGACAUAACAACUUAGAAGUCGAUAUGAUAGACUGGUGUGUUAAGAUGAUGUGACAAUACAGAAUUUGAUAUAACAGAACAGAAACUGACAUAGCAGCUUGGAAACCGAUGCGGCAAAUCAAAAAGCUUGCGUAGCAAACUAAUGUAUUUGGAAAUAUUGGCAUAGCUAACUGAUGUGGUAGACUAAUGCGUCCACUGAUACAACUGACUGACAUAGUAAACUAGUAUCUAUUGAUAUAUUUGACUGACGUGACAGACUGACAUAUUUACUAAUAUAGCUGAUUGACUUGUCUGAUGAUGUGGUAGCAAUAAGACAUAUAGAAAAUGACAAUUAUAGCGAGGACGGAACUCAGAGGGAAGGCAACUAAAGCUCAGCGAUCCUCAUAGAUAGAGGCUAACUGUCACCGAUACAAUGAACCUUGCACUGUUGUGCUUUCAACGGCUAAAAUUUUUAUUCUAUGUACGAGUGGAAAUUUGAUUUGCCCUACGUGAACUAAAUUUUAGGAUAAAUAAAUACGGAUAUAAGCUUCUCACAACAAUUUUGUAACCUUAUUCUACUAUGAUAUGUCUCCACCCAAACCAUUAUAAGGGCUAUAACAACCAUUAUUUGACUCAUUGUUGUGAUUUCAACUUAUAUUCAAUGUUACAUAAUAGUUACUAUGAUUUACACAUGCAAAUGCAUGCUACUUUUGAAAAUUAUUUUAGUUUCAAAACAAAUGCAUGAAAAUCAUCAAAGCAAAAUGUAUUAUUUAUCAUAUUAAAAAGUAAAAACUUGAUAUGAUCUUAAACAUAUCUUAUUAUUGCUUGGUUAUAUAUGAAUUAUGAAAUUUUUAUAGAGGCACAUAAGCAAAUCAUCAAGUAUAAUAGUAUAAAUAUUUGAAAUAAUGUGGUAACUUGGAAAUCUGAUAAUGUUUUAGGGAAAUAAAAAUUGAGCAUGAACUUUCAAUUAAAUAAAUAAAAAAUAAAAUGCUUGUAAGUAUUCAUUAUAUUAAAUAUUUAAUACCCUUUCUAUCUGAACUUGAAAUAUAAUGUGUCACCCAUGAUCUCAGCAUAUUUCAUCAUUAUAUACUUUCUUUUGAGCUAGUCCAUCAAGCUAAGAGAUUAGAAUCACGCGCAUACACUUUCUUUUUGAUUCACAUGUUGUAUUUGUCCCAUAGACCAUGAAAGAUGUUUCUAUAAUUUUUUUUAAUAGCCUAUAACAUAUGUGAAAACAACUGUACUUAUUCCUUAAAAAAUUCUAGUUCUUUUACUUCUUAUAAGAAAAGUUAAAGGUAAAAAGCAGGGCCAUGGACUCUAGUUUGCAUUGGCCAAAGCAAUAGUAUGGAAAUUUGGUUCGAAAAGCCAUACAUAGCUUCGUACCAUCGGCCUAAAUUAUUUUGCUUUCUUAAGUUUAUUAUUUUGGAAUAUUACUUUUCUACCCCCGAUGUAUUUGGUUAGCACCGAUCAAGAUUGACAUAAUUGAAAUACUAAAACCUACACCAUACAUGCAAAAUUCAAAUCGAAUUGAUUUUUGGAUAUUUAAACAUAUCAAGGGGUAAACUCAAAUGCAGAGAAUAGAAUAGUGGAGAAUGCUCCAAACUAGCCCUCAUGCCAAGACUCGCUUCUCUGUAGCAAAUGACAAUCUCCUGGUGAGGUGAUGGUUAAUCUAAGCUUGGUGCCAUACAUAAGAUGCGGAUGAGUAUUAGGUGGGUGGGCAGUUAACAUGUUAAUGCUUGCUAAUUGCCACAUUUUAAGCAAGCAUUGGAGCUUGGCAUCAUAUAUUAGAAGAGAUAUAUAAAAAUUAUUUUUUCUAGUUAUCUUCUAAAGUAAAUUGGAAGUGCACAUAUUGAUGCAUAUAAAAUCUCUAUUAAUACAUGAAAUAUAUUCAAGCACAUAUACAUGAAAGUCAUAAAUUAUUUGUUAACUAAUUAGUUUUAUUAGCCACCAAGCUUUGAUUUAGAUGUUUAACUGAGGCACUCUCUUUCUGUUUAACCUUGGCUUACUUUAAAAAAUGAGCUAAUAAUUGUUUUCAAGCUAAGACUACACUAUUUAAGAAGAGUAAUUAUGUGGAACACUUUCUUAAUAAGCUUUACAUGAUAUUGUGAGCAUUAGUAAUGGAUGUCACACUAUACUUUUUUUCAUCUCUUUUUCUUUCCUUUGCUUGAGUUGUUGAUUAAAAAUAUCAUUGUCCUCCCUAUCCUUCCCCAGCCCCCUACUCACCUUUUACUCCUUUGUUCUCCAUUUUGCCUCCUUACCACACCUUAAUCUAAGAUUCAUCUUAAACCAAAUAGUAAUUGAUGAAAGCUAUUACUAGUGAUUAGAAGAAUAAAAUAAAUUAAUUAUGGUAAAUAGAUGAAUAUAACAUCUAAAUUCAUUGUGUGCUUGUAAGAUAUUAAUCGAACUACGAAAUUGCAAAAAGGAGGUCAUAUGAUAUAUACGUGCCAGGUGUUUCCAAGUGGCAAUCUAAAAUAGAGUUUUGGCAUUGUUUAUGCAAUUUCUAUCUUAAAGAUAUUUCAUUCAUGAAAUCUACCCAUGUCAUCAAAUUGAAACAAGCAUUGAUGGUGCGAACGGCAUUGUUUCUCACUUACAAGCUCAAUGAAAAUUGCAAGGAUCAAACUAAGAUGCAAUACUAGAGAAACACUCAAAUAUUGUCGUACCUAUCCUUAGGCUUUAAAAGGGUCAAAUGAAAGGGCCAAGGACAUCUGGAACCUCCACUCUGUUGUCACAGCGCCCAAGAUUAUCCUUGUUUUGUGGGAGCCCCCACUCCCUGGCCAUCUGAAGGUGAAUUUUGAUGGGAUGUACCCGUUGGUGGGAAUAGUGUAGGUGUGGGGUAUGUUAUUAGGAGCCAUGACUCGAGACUGAUUGCGACCGGAGGACGACACAUGGCCAAAUUGUCGACCAUUGGUCUGGAACUCAUGACAGCAUGGGAAAGCACCACCUAUACAAGGAGGGUGAUAAAGACGGAGCGUAUCUUCCUAGAGGGGGAUGCAGCCCCAGUGAUCGAGUGGAUUCGUUGAGGAGAGUCGAGGGAGGAGACAACCUUCCGUUAUGCGACAUUUGGGAGAUGGUGGGCGGCUGCAGGAUCUUUCAGGUAGCACACGUGUACCGAGAGGCGAAUAGAGCUGCGGAUUGGGUCGCCUUCUAUGCUAUAUAAUAUUCUGGCGAGAUACUUUGGACAUCACAAGGGACAUCCCCUCUUUGCUUUGUCACUUUUUGUCUUUGGAUUCAGCUGGCUGUACUCAAGCUAGAGUAGUGUAAACAACCGUCGCCACAAAAAAAGGGCUCUAAAAGGGCUAUAAAAUAUUCUCUUGGAUCAAGAUACAACAAAGUAUGGCAAUGAUGUUUUUACAAUAAUUCAGUGACCAUAGUGAUAUUGACCGAAGAAAGGAGAGGAGGAAAUUUGUGAGAAACUGAAGUCAAGAACUCUCCUAACACACACACACAAAAAAAAAAAAACAAUUUCAUGCUCUAUUGAGAAUUCAAACAUCUCAAAUUGCCUCAAGCAAGAUAGGUAAGAAAAGGAUGUCUUUGAAAUCCUAAAUGGUUUUAAAGCUAGGAUGUAUUUGGAUAAUAAACUUUAGAUGAAUGGAUUGGAUUAUGGCAAAUUCAAUUCUUGUGAUUGCUUACUGCAAGAAAUUUAUGGGCACUUAUAUAAAUAACAUGUGGGAAUCCAUUUGUGAAUAGAUAGUCAGACAUCGGAUGGUAAAAGAAAGAUGAAGAGGUUGAGAUACUAGUUAGGUCCGAGACACAAAUCAUGGAUUAGUUCAUAGUGAUGAAUGGGCAAAAAAAGACCAUUUUCAUUUUUAGGAUUAUGGAUAAAUAAUUAAAUUUUGAUUGCCUAAUUUUUUGAUUAAAUAAAUUAUCCUAAUCUUACAAACUGUAUAAGUGUAGGAACAACCAUGUGAAAACCUUCGUUGUUCUUAAAAUAUGUCAUCCCAUAACGCCCUUACAAAAUUUGAAAUUUAGUUAUUCUUAGAAUACCUCUGUUCUAAUUUGAAAUUUACUUCUAUUUGCAUGAUAUAGUUGUGUGCCAUAUCUAUUCUAGUUGGACACAUCUUUUUCUGAAAAUGUACAACUAAAAUAGAAGUAACGAAUAACUCCAUCCCCUUGCCUUUCCUAUUCCCAAUAUUUACCUCCUCUUUUCUUUUUUCAAAUGAAUCUUUUUGUGCCUCUGUUAUUUAUUUUUCCAAGACCUCAACCCUAUUCAUGUCAAAUGUUACAACAUACUAUCUUAUGUUGGAAUAUUUCAAAAUUCCGAGUCUGCCCUUCUUUGUCUUUUGUCUUUUUGUCUAGUGUACUUUCUUUAGUCCCACAUUAGAAAGGAAUAAAACUCAAAAGAUCUUUAUAUAGUAUUCAACCUUUUAACUUGGUGAAGCAAAGAAAGAAAGUAGCCCACGUGCGCAUGAGCCCAAUGGAGGUCCAAGCCAAAAUUGGCGAAUCCGAUCCGGAAACGUUUAACCGGGCGCGUCACGCUCGAUUAUCACGCGCAGGGGGGACCCCCCCGCGGGUGUGGGCUUGAGUCAGGUUUCUUUUUGCCGUUUUAUUUUUUGAAUUGUUUUGUUUUAUCUCUUGAUAAAACGUCGCGUCUUUUAAAAACACCUCUUUGGUAAAACGACGUGUCUUUUAAAUACGCCUCUUCCUUUCUUUUUAAACCCUAUCAGAUCCGAUAGAGAUAUCUUAUCAAAAUCCUCUCUCUGAUUUUUGAGAGAAUCUUAAUCCUCUCUCUGAUUCCCGAGAGCCUCUCUCUCUCUGUUUUCUGUGUUCCCGAGAGGAUACUCUCCUCUGUUUUGUUUUUUCUGAGCGCUUCUGGGCUGUUCAACAAGAUCACUGCAUCUGCGAGUGUGCGCUUGGAGUGAUCCAGUUGUUGUAUCCUGGAGGAUAGGCCGCCAUUACCUGCUACACCGAGAUUCAUUCUCCGAAGGGCGCGAUCUAUUCUUAAGGACAGUGAAAUCACGCCUCAACUGAUAAGUUCUUCCUUCUCUCCAUCUAUUAUUUUACUACAAUCUUAAGAAUAGAUCGACAUGGAUUCUGCUAUGAUUACUGCUAGAUCAAUUCCUGAUACUUCUAAAAUUGAGAGUUUCAAUGGUAUGUAUUUUAAGAGAUGGCAAGAACGUGUUUAUUCUGCAUUGGAUAUGCUUAAUUUUGCUCGGUAUUUAAAUCAGUCAAAACCGAUAGAAGGGUCUGAAGAUUUUGACACUAAAUUCAAAGAGUGGGAACAUGAAAAUAAAAUCUGUAGGCACACAAUUCUGAGUACGCUGUCCAAUGAACUUUUUGAUGUCUACUGUUCAUACAAAGAAGCUGCAGAAAUU